rnacentral:lncRNA from 1 species
AAAGGUACAAAGUAAUUUUUUUAGUAUAUAUCAUCACACAAUCAUAGUACAACCAGCACACACAAGCCAUCAUCCUCCGUACAAGCCAGAAAAGUAAAUAAGAACAAUCACAAGAUUUACAUGGGCAUCAUGCCCUAAUCUUGAUUGAUCUUGACAUUAUAUAGCAUGGGAUGACUUAAUGGUGGUGGGUUACAACACACCACUUAUUUAAUCCAACCGGCAAUAUAAGUAAUGACGAUACUAUGUCUGGCAUGGUUGAUGUACCCGAACAUCUCAUGCCAACAAUUACUCUUGGACGUUUGCUUCACCAUUUCCUUUUUCUGCUUGAGUCCCAAGUGGUGGUUUUGGUUGUGCAUUCGGGUCAGGCAGUGGUUGUGGAUUCGGGUCUGGUAAUGGUUGUGGGUUUGGAUCAGGUUGCGGUCCUGGUAAUGGCUGAGGGUUUGGGUUUGGCUGUGGGUCCGGCAAUGGCUUCGGGUUUGGGUCUGGUAAUGGUUGCGGGUUUGGAUGAGGUUGUGGUCCUGGUAAUGGCUGAGGGUUUGGGUUUGGCUGUGGGUUCGGCAAUGGUAUCGGGUUUGGGUCUGGUAAUGGUUCUGGGUUUGGAUCAGGCUGUGGUCCUGGUAAUGGCUGAGGGUUUGGGUUUGGUUGUGGGUCCGGCAAUGGUUUUGGGUUUGGGUCUGGUAAUGGUUGUGGAUUUCGAUCAGGCUGCGGUCUUGGUAAUGGUUGAGGGUUUGGUUUUGCUCGUGGGUCUGGUAGUGGCCGCGGCUUUGUGUUUGGCUGUGGGUUCAUCAACUGUUGCAGGUUUUGUCCUGGCAAUAGUUGUGGAUUUGGGUCAGGNNNNNNNNNNGUUGUGGGUUUGGAUCAGGUUGCGGCCCUGGUAGUGGCUUAGGGUUUGGGUUUGGCUGUGGGUCCGGCAAUGGUUUUGGGUUUGGGUCUGGUAAUGGUUGUGGAUUUCGAUCAGGCUGCGGUCUUGGUAAUGGUUGAGGGUUUGGUUUUGCUCGUGGGUCUGGUAGUGGCCGCGGCUUUGUGUUUGGCUGUGGGUUCAUCAACUGUUGCAGGUUUUGUCCUGGCAAUAGUUGUGGAUUUGGGUCAGGGUGUGGUCCUGGUAAUGGUUGAGCGUUUGGAUCAGGUUGUGGAUCUAGCAGUGGUUGUGGGUUUGUAUGAGGUUUAGGCUCGGGUAGCGGUUGCGGCUUUGGGUCUGGUUGUGGUCCCGGCAAUGGUUGAGGGUUUGGAUCUGGCUGUUUUCCUGGUAGUGGUUCUGGAUUUGGGUUCGCCCGUGGGCCGUACUGAGGGUCUCUAGUGAUCAGGUUGUGCCUCCCGGCAGCAAGAGCAAACACUGGAAGAAGCAUAAGCAGCAACGGUGCUACGAGAAGAGAAGACGCGGAUGGGCGCUUCCUCAUCGUCAUGGCUAAGCUUGUGUUGGUACGAACUUGCAAGUGCGUGCGUCUCGAUCUUCCUAUUUAUAAGCGAAUUCAGCCAUCAAGGCUGGACAAGCAUGUACGUUGUUUACUCCAACUCUGAUUGGGCUUGUUAGCUUUGCCUUUUUGAAGAUGCGGGACUGCACGCCUCCGCUUAGUGCUCUAACCAGCAGCUAGCCACAAUAAAAAGUCAUUUAGAAAAGUUUUGAGUUAUCAUCAUAAAGAAAAAGUUUGUGUAGUUUUCGUCUGGAUAGAUGUGACAUUUUUCAGUUGAUCGUAGGAGAGCAACAUGCAGAAGCAUACAGUUGCCCAAGUUGUGAACAACCUGAUCACUUUCAGUAAUUCUGUUGAAUUCAUAGCAGGGUAGCAGAUGGCUGUGAGCAUGGAAUUUGUAAAUCAUGUAAUUUUUUUUAAAAUAAGAAAAAUCAUGUAAACACGUAUACAUGUUAUUUGCGUGUCCAAGAAGUUUAAUUAAGCCAUACACAGAUUUGUAGGCUACAUAAAAAAAAUCCAGCCCAAAUGCAAUAGAAAUAAGCCUAUUUUAAAUUAUGUAUUUGUCGUUUUCCCCUUUGUGUAGACUAUAUAUGAUUUUUUUUCAAAUAUAUUUUGUUGAAAUUUUGUAUGAACACACUAUACCUUUUUUAUUGAAAAUUUUGAGGUGCAAGAAUAAAGUUCUUGAUAAAAAAUAAAGAAGCCUGUACGAUGUAUUGUUGUACACAGGAAUAUCGUGGAUUCUAAACUUGAGGUUUGCAUGGAUGGAUUUUUUUUACGGAAUCUAGUUUAAAUGAGUCCUAUUGUUUCCCGUAUGAAUUCCUAUUCUAUGACUCAAACAACACAUACAGAAAAAUUUUCUAAGGAUUAGAUUCCUCCAAAAUUCUAUUAAAAGUUUAAAACCCCUUUGAAUCAAAGAAGCCUAUUCCCCCCAAAAUAAAGAAAAGAAUCAAAUGAGCUCGGGUGAACAGUAAAAUCAAAACUAAAUCAAUUUUUUUUUAAAAAAAUCCAAUUUUUUUUGGGAGAAAAAGUUCUAAGUGCUUGCAAAAAUUCGCCAUGAAAUCACAUUUCUAGAAGGCGUGGCAAAAAAAAAAAACAAAAUCAGUACUCUGAAAAAGCUACUUUCAAAAGCAUUUUGGAGCACUGAAUUUGUUUUUUUUGCCACGCUUUACAGGAAUGUGAUUUCAUGAUGAAUUUUUGCAAGCACUUAAAACUUUUGUUAAUGUUUCUCCCAAAAAAAAUUGGGAAUUUUUUGAAUUUUUUUUGAAUUUUUUUCGAUUUUACUGUUCACCAAGCUCAAAUGAGCUCGGGAGCAGAAAGGCACUUUCGAUCAAAGAAGCCUAUUUCGCAGCAAAGCUAGUGGCUGUCCUAUCGGACAGUGAUGCACCUUUAAGUACGCGGUUUCUAAUAAUCACGAUCAGUGCACGCCGUGCACAGUGCACUCAUUUCGGUUGUAGAUGUAACUUUCACAUUUCAUACACCAAUCACGAUCAGUUGCUUGUUGGCACGGGCGGAGCUCCGUAGGGGCAGACCUGGGCCAUGGCCCGCCCAGGAAUUUGACAAAAAAAGUUUUUACUACUAGUCGUCUUAGCCCAGCCCACUAGCCCACGCACGCACUGAAUAUCCCCCCAUCGGCCAUCGUCUCCUCGUCUCGCGCACGCUGCACGCACAGGCACACUCACGCCUUCCCCAAUUCCCCAUCCUCUCAGUCCCAGACUCAUGUAGGUUGUAGCCACGCCGCCGACGACUACCGACGUGGACAGGGAACACGUCCACACGGUCCACCGGAGCGCGCCGCCCGCCAUCUCUCGGAGCAACCGCCAUGGCAACGCCCGCCGGGAUCUCGCCUCGCCCCUGCCCUGCUCCCUCCUGCCGCCCAUCAUCCGCACACUUACANNNNNNNNNNNNNNNNNNNNNNNNNNNNNNNNNNNNNNNNNNNNNNNNNNNNNNNNNNNNNNNNNNNNNNNNNNNNNNNNNNNNNNNNNNNNNNNNNNNNNNNNNNNNNNNNNNNNNNNNNNNNNNNNNNNNNGCAAUAACCUGAUUUUGUUCAUUUCCAUACACCCAGUGAUCAGUCCUGCUAGUGAUAAAUAAUAGUCUGAUGAUCUGAUCUUACGCAAAUUUUAACAUAGGUAGUCGGGAAAGGAAAAUAAGACUCAGAGAAGAAGAAGAUCACUGCACAAUAAGAUGGAAGAUGAGAAUCUGGCUAAUAACUUGUUAGUUCACAUAGAUGGUGGAAUUCUAGAAAACUACAGCCACGAAGAUGUCAUUGCAGAUUUUAUAAACAAGAAGAUCGGAGAGUUGAUUGUAUGUGAGUAGGUCCAUGUCUAAUGUCUCUGACACUUUUGUAUUAUCUAACUCAAUAGUGAAACAUGGUUGAACUGUACUUUGGUACAUAUAUAUAUUAUAUAUAUACAUAUCUGCUAGCUCAAUCUUGUGACCUGGGUGCUUGUAAUAUGUCCUUAUGGGUAAGAAUUUAGAAAAAAUUGUGUUCUUCUUCAGUCUGGCCCGCCCAACUUUUUCGUUCAAGCUCCGCCACUGCUUGUUGGUGCACAUCCAAUGCUCUAGAAUAAAACAAAAAGUACUCCUAUAUACAAAACGUACUUUACCUAACCUACCGAUUGAAUCGUAUACAUAGAUGAAAAAGAAAAGACAUCCGUAGAGUCCCAAGUUACCUACCGAUUGAAUCGUAUGUAUAGAUGAAAAAGAAAAGACAUCCAUAGAGUACCAAGUUACCUACCGAUUGAAUCAUACAUAUAGACGAAAAAGAAAAGACAUGCAUAGAGUACCAAGUUAAAGACGAUAUGACCUCACAACUAGAUUGGGUUGGGUGAGUGGAGUGCCACUUUAAUCCUUGUCUGGAGCACGCGCUAUGAUAUUUCUUCAGAGGCGCUGAAGUGGGGAACAAGACUGAUAGAACAAACAACAAGUGAGAUAUUUUGAGCUUCACUAGGUUGGAGGCCUGGUGUGCUCAGAAUUUAUCAGGGUGUAUUCAGGUUGCAGCACUGCUGCCAAGGCAUUUCUCCAGCUUCGCUCUGAAGAUCUUUUGCUUUGCUUUGUUCCUCUGUUUGUUUGUAAUGAAGUUCCCGUGUUUUGUGAUGGUUGCAAGUUCCCUGUAGUCUUUAUAUAUUUGGCUCAAGGGUGCCUGAAAAUUUCAUAGUUAUGUUUAAAAAAAUGCCGUAGUUGUUAGUUUUUGGACCAUCUAUCUAAAUCUAUCAAAGACCCUGUUGCCCGAGCUAGCCAAUCAAAGUUGGGCCAUUUGCAUCAAGCUAGGUAGGAUGCGUCGCCGGAAAACCCAAAUCGCUAAUUAAGGAGUACUCUUUGCAAAGGUCACUCCUACCAUGUCGCAACUAGUGAGUUUUCCUUUUUUUGUCGAUUCGUUUAUUCAACACGUUUUAUCGGUUAAAACAUGCAUUCACAUCUUGAAUCGUUUUCUCCAUUGUAUUCCUCGCACUGAGAUCUUGAAAAUUAGAUCCGAUCUGAUAGGUUUUGAUGAACGUUUUACUUUACGAAAAAUACCGAACAAAAAACAAACCGGGAGCACAUUUUUUCCUUUCUGAAAAGGGCACAAUCGUGCCUCUCGUGUCGUUACAAAUCUUAUCUCUGUUCGUCGUUACAAAUCCUAUGAAUUGCUAUUCUAUCUUCACAACAUCCUAUACUCCCCUUGUGUCGUUACAAAUCUUAUCUCUGUUCGUCGUUUUUGCAUUGACAAUUCAGUAACAAUUGAGUUUUACCCCCUUGACUUUGUUGUGAAGGAUCUAGCCACUCGGACUCCUUAUGAGCCGCAGUAGCUACGGCCAGCUUUACUCCUUCUCCGGCGGCACCACCAACCACCAGGCGGUGCUCUCUAUGGACGUUGGAAACUUGUGGCAUCAGCGAUUAGGGCACCCCAGUGCUGCCUCCCUUUCCCGUUUGGCGAGCAGUUUUUAACCAAAUUGUAAUAAGCCAGUCCACCCCAUGGUACUUGUCAUGCAUGUCAAUUAGGCCACCAUGCUCUCCUUCCUUUUUCCAGAUUCUCUGUCAUUUACUACUUUUCCUUUUCAACUAGUGCACUAUGAUAUAUGAACCUCAACAAUUGCGAGUUUUUCCGGCUUCAAAUAUUAUUUGUUUGUCAUAGACGACUUCACUCACUUCCCUUGGAGCUUCCCGCUACACCAUAAGCCCCAUGCCGCUGCCACCCUUGAACGCUUUUACCAGUACGUGCUCAUACAAUUCCGUGUUUACAUACAGUGUGUCCAAUGUGAUAAUGGGGGCGACUUCCUCAACGUUCACCUAUGCACUUUCUGUUGGGGAACGUUGCAGAAAACAAAAAUUUUCCUACGGUUUCACCAAGAUCCAUCUAGGACUUCAUCUAGCAACGAGUAAUCGGAUUGCAUCUACGUACCUUGUAGAUCGCGAGUGGAAGCGUUCAAAGAACGGGGAUGAGGGAGUCGUACUCGACGUGAUCCAAAUCACCGGAGAUCCUAGCGCCGAACGGACGACACCUCCGCGUUCAACACACGUACGGUCAGCGUAACGUCUCCUUCCUCUUGAUCCAGCAAGGGGCAAGGAGAGGUUGAGGAAGAUGGCUCCAGCAGCAGCACGACGGCGUGGUGGUGAUGGAGCUGCAGUACUCCGGCAGGGCUUCGCCAAGCUCUAUGGAGGAGGAGGAUGUGUUGGAGAGGGAGAGGGAGGCACCAAAGGCAAAGGUAAGAGGUCCUCCAUCCUCCCCACUAUAUAUAGGGGGGCCUAGGGGGGGACGCCGGCCCUAGGAGAUGCAAUCUCCUAGGGGGGCGGCGGCCAAGGGGUGGGGGACUUGCCCCCCAAGCAAGGGGGCGUCCCCCCCCUUUAGGGUUUCCCCCACCCUAGGCGCAUGGGCCCUAGGGGAAGUGGCGCCCCAGCCCACUUUGGGCUGGAUCCCUUCCCACUUCAGCCCAUGGGGCCCUCCGGGAUAGGUGGCCCCACCCGGUGGACCCCCGGGACCCUUCCGGUGGUCCCGGUACAAUACCGGUGACCCCGAAACUUGUCCCGAUAGCCGAAAUAGCACUUCCUAUAUAUAAUUAUUUACCUCCGGACCAUUCCGGAACUCCUCGUGAUGUCCGGGAUCUCAUCCGGGACCCCGAACAACAUCCGGGUUACUGCAUAUACAUAUCCCUAUAACCCUAGCGUCACCGAACCUUAAGUGUGUAGACCCUACGGGUUCGGGAGACAUGUAGACAUGACCGAGAUCGCUCUCCGGUCAAUAAACAAUAGCGGGAUCUGGAUACCCAUGUUGGCUCCCACAUGCUCCUCGAUGAUCUCAUCGGAUGAACCACGAUGUCGAGGAUUCAAGCAACCCCGUAUACAAUUCCCUUCGUCAGUCGGUAUGUUACUUGCCCGAGAUUCGGUCGUCGGUAUCCCAAUACCUCGUUCAAUCUCGUUACCGGCAAGUCACUUUACUCUUACCGUAAUGCAUGAUCCCGUGACCAGACACUUGGUCACUUUGAGCUCAUUAUGAUGAUGCAUUACCGAGUGGGCCCAGUGAUACCUCUUCGUCAUACGGAGUGACAAAUUCCAGUCUUGAUCCGUGUCAACCCAACAGACACUUUCGGAGAUACCCGUAGUAUACCUUUAUAGUCACCCAGUUACUUGUGACGUUUGGUACACCCAAAGCACUCCUACGGUAUCCGGGAGUUACACGAUCUCAUGGUCUAAGGAAAAGAUACUUGACAUUGGAAAACUCUAGCAAAUGAACUAUACGAUCUUGUGCUAUGUUUAGGAUUGGGUCUUGUCCAUCACAUCAUUCUCCUAAUGAUAUGAUCUCGUUAUCAAUGACAUUCAAUGUCCAUAGUCAGGAAACCAUGACUAUCUUUGAUCAACGAGCUAGUCAACUAGAGGCUUACUAGGGACAUGUUGGUGUCUAAGUAUUCACACAUGUAUUACAAUUUCCGGAUAACACAAUUAUAGCAUGAAUAAAAGACAAUUAUCAUGAACAAGGAAAUAUAAUAAUAAUGCUUUUAUUAUUGCCUCUAGGGCAUAUUUCCAACAGUCUCCCACUUGCACUAGAGUCAAUAAUCUAGUUACAUUGUGAUGAAUCGAACACCCAUGGAAUUCUGGUGUUGAUCAUGUUUUGCUCUAGGGAGAGGUUUAGUCAACGGAUCUGCUACAUUCAGGUCCAUAUGUACUUUACAAAUAUCUAUGUCUCCAUCUUGAACAUUUUCACGAAUGGAGUUGAAGCGACGCUUGAUGUGCCUCGUCUUCUUGUGAAAUCUGGGCUCCUUGGCAAGUGCAAUAGCUCCAUGUUGUCACAGAAGAGCUUCAUAGGCCCCGAUGCAUUGGGUAUGACUCCUAGGUCGGUGAUGAACUCCUUCACCCAAAUUGCUUCAUGCGCUGCCUCCGAGGCUGCCAUGUACUCCGCUUCACAUGUAGAUCCCGCCACGACGCUCUUCUUGCAACUGCACCAGCUUACUGCCCUACCAUUCAAAAUAUACACGUAUCCGGUUUGUGACUUAGAGUCAUCCAGAUCUGUGUCGAAGCUAGCAUCGACGUAACCAUUUACGACGAGCUCUUCGUCACCUCCAUAGACGAGAAACAUUUCCUUAGUCCUUUUCAGGUACUUCAGGAUAUUCUUGACCGCUGUCCAGUGUUCCUUGCCGGGAUUACUUUGGUACCUACCUACCAAACUUACGGCUAGGUUUACAUCAGGUCUGGUACACAGCAUGGCAUACAUAAUAGAACCUAUGGCUGAGGCAUAGGGGAUGAUACUCAUCUCUUCUAUAUCUUCUGCCGUGGUCGGACAUUGAGCUGAGCUCAAUUUCAUACCUUGCAACACAGGCAAGAACCCCUUCUUAGACUGAUCCAUAUUGAAUUUCUUCAAUAUCUUAUCAAGGUAUGUGCUUUGUGAAAGACCUAUGAGGCGUCUUGAUCUAUCUCUGUAGAUCUUGAUGCCUAAUAUAUAAGCAGCUUCUCCAAGGUCCUUCAUUGAAAAACUCUUAUUCAAGUAGGCCUUAAUGCUGUCCAAAAGUUCUAUAUCAUUUCCCAUCAAAAGUAUGUCAUCUACAUAUAAUAUGAGAAAUGCUACAGAGCUCCCACUCACUUUCUUGUAAACACAGGCUUCUCCAUAAGUCUGCGUAAACCCAAACGCUUUGAUCAUCUCAUCAAAGCGAAUGUUCCAACUCCGAGAUGCUUGCACCAGCCCAUAAAUCGAGCGUUGGAGCUUGCACACCUUGUCAGCAUACUUAGGAUCGACAAAACCUUACGGCUGCAUCAUAUACCAUUCUUCCUUAAGGAAACCAUUAGGAAUGCCGUUUUGACGUCCAUUUGCCAUAUUUCAUAAUCAUAGAAUGCGGCAAUUGCUAACAUGAUUCGGACGGACUUCAGCUUCGCUACCGGUGAGAAAGUCUCAUCGUAGUCAACCCCUUGAACUUGUCGAUAACCCUUAGCGACAAGCCGAGCUUUAUAGAUGGUCACACUACCAUCCGCGUCUGUCUUCUUCUUAAAGAUCCAUUUAUUUUCUAUGGCUUGCCGCUCUACGGCCAAGUCAGUCAAAGUCCAUACUUCGUUUUCAUACAUGGAUCCUAUCUCGGAUUUCAUGGCUUCCAGCCAUUUGUCAGAAUCCGGGCCCGCCAUCGCUUCUUCAUAGUUUGAAGGUUCACCGUUGUCUAACAACAUGAUUUCCAAGACAGGGUUGCCGUACCAAUCUGGUGCGGAACGUGUCCUUGUGGACCUUCGAAUUUCAGUAGGAGCUUGAUCAGAAGUAUCUUGAUCAUCAUCAUUAACUUCCUCUCUAGUCGGUGCAGGCACCUCAGGAACAUUUUCUUGAGUUGCGCCAUUUUCCGGUUCAAGAGGUAAUACUUCAUCAAGUUCUACUUUCCUCCCAUUUACUUCUUUCGAGAGAAACUCCUUCUCUAGAAAGGAUCCAUUCUUGGCAACAAAGAUCUUGCCUUCGGAUCUGAGGUAGAAGGUAUACCCAAUAGUUUCUUUAGGGUAUCCUAUGAAGACGCAUUUUUCCGACUUGGGUUCGAGCUUUUCAGGUUGAAGUUUCUUGACAUAAGCAUCGCAUACCCAAACUUUUAGAAACGAUAGCUUAGCUUUCUUCCCAAACCAUAAUUCAUACGGUGUCGUCUCAACGGAUUUCGACGGAGCCCUAUUUAAAGUGAAUGCGGGAGUCUCUAAAGCAUAGCCCCAAAAAGAUAGCGGUAAAUCGGUAAGAGACAUCAUAGAUCACACCAUAUCUAAUAGAGUGCGAUUACGACGUUCGGACACACCAUUACGCUGAGGUGUUCCAAGCGGCGUGAGUUGUGAAACUAUUCCAUAUUUUCUUAAGUGUGUGCCAAACUCGUGACUCAAGUAUUCUCCUUCACGAUCUGAUCGCAGGAACUUGAUUUUCCUGUCACGUUGAUUCUCAACCUCACUCUGAAAUUCCUUGAACUUUUCAAAGGUCUCAGACUUGUGUUUCAUUAAGUAGACAUACCCAUAUAUACUCAAGUCAUCAGUGAGGGUGAGAACAUAACGCCACCGUGAGCCUCAACAGUCAUUGGACCGCACACAUCAGUAUGUAUGAUUUCCAAUAAGUUGGUUUCUCGCUCCAUUGUUCCUGAGAACGGAGUCUUGGUCAUUUUACCCAUGAGGCAUGAUUCGCACAUGUCAAAUGAUUCGUAAUCAAGAGACUCUAAAAGUCCAUCAGCAUGGAGCUUCUUCAUGCGUUUGACACCUAUGUGACCAAGGCGGCAGUGCCACAAGUAUGUGGGACUAUCAUUAUCAAUCUUACAUCUUUUGGUACUCACACUAUGAACAUGUGUAGCAUUACGCUCGAGAUUCAUUAAGAAUAAACCAUUCACCAUCGGAGCAUGACCAUAAAACAUAUCUCUCAUAUAAAUAGAACAACCAUUAUUCUCGGAUUUAAAUGAGUAGCCAUCUCGAAUUAAACGAGAUCCUGAUACAAUGUUCAUGCUCAAAGCUAGCACUAAAUAACAAUUAUUAAGGUUUAAAACUAAUCCCGAAGGUAAAUGUAGAGGUAGCGUGCCGACGGCGAUCACAUUGACCUUGGAACCAUUCCCGACGCGCAUCGUCACCUCGUCCUUCGCCAGUCUCCGCUUAUUCCGCAGCUCCUGUUUUGAGUUACAAAUGUGAGCAACCGCACCGGUAUCAAAUACCCAGGAGCUACUACGAGUACUGGUAAGGUACACAUCAAUUACAUGUAUAUCACAUAUACCUUUCGUGAUGCCGGCCUUCUUGUCCGCUAAGUAUUUGGGGCAGUUUCGCUUCCAGUGACCACUUCCCUUGCAAUAAAAGCACUUAGUCUCGGGCUUGGGUCCAUUCUUUGGCUUCUUCCCGGCAGCUUGCUUGCCGGGCGCGGCAACUCCCUUGUCGUCCUUCUUGAAGGCUUUCUUACCCUUGCCCUUCUUGAACUUAGUGGUUUUAUUCACCAUCAACACUUGAUGUUCCUUUUUGACUUCUACCUCAGCUGAUUUCAGCAUUGCAAAUACGUCAGGAAUGGUCUUUUCCAUCCCCUGCAUAUUGAAGUUUAUCACAAAGCUCUUGUAGCUCGGUGGAAGCGACUGAAGGAUUCUGUCAAUGACCGUGUCAUCCGGGAGAUUAACUCCCAGCUGAGUCAAGCGGUUAUGCAACCCAGACAUAAUGAGUAUGUGCUCACUGACAGAACUGUUUUCCUCCAUCUUACAGCUGAAGAACUUGUCGGAGACUUGAUAUCUCUCGACCCGGGCAUGAGCUUGGAAAACCAUUUUCAGCUCUUCGAACAUCUCAUAUGCUCCGUGUCUCUCAAAACGCUUUUGGAGCCCCGGCUCUAAGCUGUAAAGCAUGCCGGACUGAACGAGGGAGUAGUCAUCGGUACGUGCCUGCCAAGCGUUCAUAACGUCUUGUUCUGCAGGGAGAACAGGUGUGUCACCUGGCGGUGCUUGUAGGACAUAAUCUUUCUUGGCAGCUAUGAGGAUGAUCCUCAGGUUUCGGACCCAGUCCGUGUAGUUGCUGCCAUCGUCUUUCAGCUUGGUUUUCUCUAGGAACGCGUUGAAGUUGAGGACUACGUUGGCCAUUUGAUCUACAAGACAUAUUGUAAAUUUUUUAGACUAAGUUCAUGAUAAUUAAGUUCAUCUAAUCAAAUUAUUCAAUGAACUCCCACUUAGAUAGACAUCCCUCCAGUAAUCUAAGUAUAACAUGAUCCGAGUUAACUAGGACGUGUCCGAUCAUCACGUAAGACGGACUAGUCAACAUCGGUGAACAUCUUCAUGUUGAUCGUAUCUUCUAUAUGACUCAUGCUCGACCUUUCGGUCUUCUGUGUUCCGAGGCCAUGUCUGUACAUGCUAGGCUCGUCAAGUCAACCUAAGUGUUUGCAUGUGUAAAUCUGUCUUACACCCGUUGUAUGUGAACGUUGGAAUGAAUCUAACACCCGAUCAUCACGUGGUGCUUCGAAACAACGAACUGUCGCAAUGGUGCACAGUUAGGAGAAACACUUUCUUGAAAUUAUUAUGAGGGAUCAUCUUAUUUACUAUCGUUGUUCUAAGUAAACAAGAUGCAGAAACAUGAUAAACAUCACAUGCAAUCAAAUAGUGACAUGAUAUGGCCAAUAUCACAUAGCUCCUUUGAUCUCCAUCUUGGGGCUCCAUGAUCAUCUUGUCACCAGCAUGACACCAUGAUCUCCAUCAUCAUGAUCUCCAUCACAGUGUCUCCAUGAAGUUGCUCGCCAACUAUUACUUCUACUACUAUGGCUAACACGUUUAGCAAUAAAGUAAAGUAAUUUACAUGGCGUUUCUCAAUGAAACGCAGGUCAUACAAAAAAUAAAGACAACUCCUAUGGCUCCUGCCGGUUGUCAUACUCAUCGACAUGCAAGUCGUGAUUCCUAUUACAAUAGCAUGAGCAUCUCAUACAUCACAUGUAUAUCAUUCAUCAUUCAUCACAACUUUGGCCAUAUCACAUCACAGAACACUUGCUGCAAAAACAAGUUAGACGUCCUCUAAUUGUUGUUGCAAGUUUUACGUGGCUGCAAUAGGGUUCUAGCAAGAACGUUUUCUUACCUACGUGAAAGCCACAACAUGAUUUGUCAACUUCUAUUUACCCUUCAUAAGGACCCUUUUCAUCGAAUCCGCUCCAACUAAAGUGGGAGAGACAGACACCCGCCAGCCACCUUAUGCAACUUGUGCAUGUUAGUCGGUGGAACCGGUCUCACGUAAGCGUACGUGUAAGGUUGGUCCGGGCCGCUUCAUCCCACAAUACCGUUGAAGCAAGAUAAGACUAGUAGCGGCAAGAAAGUUGACAACAUCUACGCCCACAACAAAUUGUGUUCUACUCGUGCAAAGAGAACUACGCAUAGACCUAGCUCAUGAUGCCACUGUUGGGGAACGUUGCAGAAAACAAAAUUUUUCCUACGGUUUCACCAAGAUCCAUCUAGGAGUUCAUCUAGCAACGAGUGAUCGGAUUGCAUCUACGUACAUUGUAGAUCGCGAGCGGAAGCGUUCAAAGAACGGGGAUGAGGGAGUCGUACUCGACGUGAUCCAAAUCACCGGAGAUCCUAGCGCCGAACGGACGGCACCUCCGCGUUCAACAGACGUACGGUCAGCGUAACGUCUCCUUCCUCUUGAUCCAGCAAGGGGCAAGGAGAGGUUGAGGAAGAUGGCUCCAGCAGCAGCACGAUGGCGUGGUGGUGAUGGAGCUGCAGUACUCCGGCAGGGCUUCGCCAAGCUCUAUGGAGGAGGAUGUGUUGGAGAGGGAGAGGGAGGCACCAAAGGCAAAGGUAAGAGGUCCUCCAUCCUCCCCACUAUAUAUAGGGGGGCCUGGGGGGGGGGGCGCCGGCCCUAGGAGAUGCAAUCUCCUAGGGGGGCGGCGGCCAAGGGGUGGGGGACUUGCCCCCAAGCAAGGGGGCGCCCCCCCCUUUAGGGUUUCCCCCACCCUAGGCGCAUGGGCCCUAAGGGAAGUGGCGCCCCAGCCCACUUUGGGCUGGAUCCCUUCCCACUUCAGCCCAUGGGGCNNNNNNNNNNNNNNNNNNNNNNNNNNNNNNNNNNNNNNNNNNNNNNNNNNNNNNNNNNNNNNNNNNNNNNNNNNNNNNNNNNNNNNNNNNNNNNNNNNNNNNNNNNNNNNNNNNNNNNNNNNNNNNNNNNNNNNNNNNNNNNNNNNNNNNNNNNNNNNNNNNNNNNNNNNNNNNNNNNNNNNNNNNNNNNNNNNNNNNNNNNNNNNNNNNNNNNNNNNNNNNNNNNNNNNNNNNNNNNNNNNNNNNNNNNNNNNNNNNNNNNNNNNNNNNNNNNNNNNNNNNNNNNNNNNNNNNNNNNNNNNNNNNNNNNNNNNNNNNNNNNNNNNNNNNNNNNNNNNNNNNNNNNNNNNNNNNNNNNNNNNNNNNNNNNNNNNNNNNNNNNNNNNNNNNNNNNNNNNNNNNNNNNNNNNNNNNNNNNNNNNNNNNNNNNNNNNNNNNNNNNNNNNNNNNNNGGAAGAUGGCUCCAGCAGCAGCACGAUGGCGUGGUGGUGAUGGAGCUGCAGUACUCCGGCAGGGCUUCGCCAAGCUCUAUGGAGGAGGAUGUGUUGGAGAGGGAGAGGGAGGCACCAAAGGCAAAGGUAAGAGGUCCUCCAUCCUCCCCACUAUAUAUAGGGGGGCCUAGGGGGGGGGGCGCCGGCCCUAGGAGAUGCAAUCUCCUAGGGGGGCGGCGGCCAAGGGGUGGGGGACUUGCCCCCAAGCAAGGGGGCGCCCCCCCCUUUAGGGUUUCCCCCACCCUAGGCGCAUGGGCCCUAAGGGAAGUGGCGCCCCAGCCCACUUUGGGCUGGAUCCCUUCCCACUUCAGCCCAUGGGGCCCUCCGGGAUAGGUGGCCCCACCCGGUGGACCCCCGGGACCCUUCCGGUGGUCCCGGUACAAUACCGGUGACCCCGAAACUUGUCCCGAUAGCCGAAAUAGCACUUCCUAUAUAUAAUUCUUUACCUCCGGACCAUUCUGGAACUCCUCGUGAUGUCCGGGAUCUCAUCCGGGACCCCGAACAACAUUCGGGUUACUGCAUAUACAUAUCCCUAUAACCCUAGCGUCACCGAACCUUAAGUGUGUAGACCCUACAGGUUCGGGAGACAUGUAGACAUGACCGAGAUCGCUCUCCGGUCAAUAACCAACAGCGGGAUCUGGAUACCCAUGUUGGCUCCCACAUGCUCCUCGAUGAUCUCAUCGGAUGAACCACGAUGUCGAGGAUUCAAGCAACCCCGUAUACAAUUCCCUUCGUCAGUCGGUAUGUUACUUGCCCGAGAUUCGAUCGUCGGUAUCCCAAUACCUCGUUCAAUCUCGUUACCGGCAAAUCACUUUACUCUUACCGUAAUGCAUGAUCCCGUGACCAGACACUUGGUCACUUUGAGCUCAUUAUGAUGAUGCAUUACCGAGUGGGCCCAGUGAUACCUCUCCGUAAUACGGAGUGACAAAUCCCAGUCUUGAUCCGUGUCAACCCAACAGACACUUUCAGAGAUACCCGUAGUAUACCUUUAUAGUCACCCAGUUACGUUGUGACGUUUGGUACACCCAAAGCACUCCUACGGUAUCCGGGAGUUACACGAUCUCAUGGUCUAAAGGAAAAGAUACUUGACAUUGGAAAACUCUAGCAAACGAACUAUACGAUCUUGUGCUAUGUUUAGGAUUGGGUCUUGUCCAUCACAUCAUUCUCCUAAUGAUGUGAUCUCGUUAUCAAUGACAUCCAAUGUCCAUAGUCAGGAAACCAUGACUAUCUGUUGAUCAACGAGCUAGUCAACUAGAGGCUUACCGGGGACAUGUUGGUGUCUAAGUAUUCACACAUGUAUUAUGAUUUCCGGAUAACACAAUUAUAGCAUGAAUAAAAGACAAUUAUCAUGAACAAGGAAAUAUAAUAAUAAUGCUUUUAUUAUUGCCUCUAGGGCAUAUUUCCAACACUUUCCUCUACGAGGCAUCACCCUUUGUCACUCUUGCCCGCACACCUCCCCUCAAAACGAGAAGGCCGAGCACGGCAUUCGCUCCAUGAACGACAUUAUGCGCACACUCCUCCAAGCUCACAUGCCACCUUCGUUUUGGGUCGACGCCCUCAACACCACCACAUACUUACUGAAUUUCGCCCAUCCCGAGCCAUCGACCACAUCCCACCCUACUACGCCCUCUUUGGUACCUCUCCAGAUUACAGCUCCCUACGCACGUUCGUCUGCCUCUGCUACCAAAACCUCUAUGCCACUAUGCCCUACAAAUUAGCUCCCCGCUCCGUUCGCUGCAUUCUCCUCGGUAUGCCACUUGAGCAUAAAGGCUACAGGUGCCUGGACCUCUCCAAUCGAUGACUCAUUACCUCUAGACAUGUCAUUUUUUGACGAAAACACCUUCCCAUUCAUUGAUGCCCCGAGCGGCCACACGCCUGCACGAGCAGGGUCUGCUCCGGCCGCAGAAAAUCAAGCACCCACCUCCAUCCCCCUCGGAUCACCCACUCCACCAGUCACGCACCACCUCCCAUCCCCAAGCAUGCAGCCCGACCCCACCUCCCAAACCCAUGCAGUGAUUCACCCAUCACCUGCAUGCGGCGCGCCUCCCCUCGUGUCGACUCCACGCCUAGAUGCAGUAGCCCGCCACUUACGCCUCUGCAUGCAGCGCCCCUCACUCUAUGCCGCCCACGCAUGUAGUACGAUCCCACCCUGAGUCGUGCCGAUUUUACCUGCCAAAAACUUGCAUGCCAGGCGCACCUGCGCAAAGUCCAGUUUUCUGCAGCCAAAGAAGCUUCUGACCGUCGCUACCUCUCCCGCCCCCAUCUCUCCUAUUCCCGCAAACUACAAAGAAGCUCUCAAAGACCCCAACUGGUACAAUGUUAUGCUUGAAGAAUUUAACGCUUUGUUGCAAAGCAAAACGUGGUCUUUGGUUGCUUGCUCUGCAGGUGUCAACUUGGUGUCUGGGAAGUGGAUAUUCCGCCACAAGCUUCAUCUCGACGGCUCCCUCGCUCGGUACAAGGCGUGUUGGGUACUUCGUGGCUUCACAAAGCAGCCUGGCAUUGACUACGGGGAGACCUUCAGCCCCGUGUGGUGAAACCGGCCACCAUCCGCGUCAUCCUCAGUGUCGCCAUCAGUAACCGUUGGGCCAUUAACCAGCUGGACAUGAAGAACCCCUUCCUCCACGGCACUCUCGAUGAGCUCGUCUACAGUCAGCCGCCGGCUAGCUUCGUCGACACCGCACACCCCUCGACCAUGUGCAAACUCCAAAAGUCCUUGUAUGACUUAAGCAGGCUCCUCGUGCGUGGUUCCAGCGGUUCACCACAUUCCUUCUCUCGCUCGGCUUCACGGUGUCAAGAUCCGACACAUCCCUAUUUAUUCUCCGCCGUGGCACCUCAGUGGCAUACCUCUUGCUAUAUGUUGACGAUAUCAUUCUCACCGCUAGCUCCUCCGGGUUACUCACCAUCGUUACCGCCGCUCUCACCUCUGAGUUCUCCAUGGCGAACCUCAGCUCGCUCCACCACUUCCUUGGCGUCAAUGUUCAGUGCAGCCCCACUGGUUUGUUUCUUUCCGAGCAACAGUAUGCGCUCGAGAUCCUUGAUCGCGCCUCCAUGCUCAACUGCAAACCCAUCACUACCCCCGUCGACACCAAAGCAAAGCUCGCCACCUCGCCACCUCAGCUAACGACUCUGCUCCUGACCCAUCCCUCUUCCAUAGUCUCGCCGGUGCCCUGCAGUACCUCACGCUCAUGCGCCCGGACAUAGCCUACACCGUCCAGCAGGUGUGCCUCGUCAUGCACUCGCCGCGCAUGCUACACGCCGCCCUCCUCAAAUGUAUCAUGCGUUAUCUGCGUGGUACCACCCACCUUGGCCUUCAUAUUCGUCUGUCUGCUUCAUCCCAGCUCAUGUCUUACACAGACGCCGACUGGGCCGGUUGUCCCGACACCGUACCUGACGCUCGAUGUCUGGCUACUACAUGUACAUCGGUGACAACCUCGUCUCCUGGUCUUCGAAGCGACAAACCACCUUGUCGCGAUCGAGUGCGGAGGCAGAGUACCGAGCUGUCGCCAACGCGGUCACGGAGUCGUGUUGGCUACGAAGCUUCUUCAGGAUAUCGGAUGGCCUCCAUGGUGCUACCACUGUUUACUGAGACAACGUAUCGGUGACUGAAGGAAAUAUGCCCUAGAGGCAAUAAUAAAGUUAUUAUUUAUUUCCUUAUAUCAUGAUAAAUGUUUAUUAUUCAUUCUAGAAUUGUAUUAACGGAAACAUAAUACAUGUGUGAAUACAUAGACAAACAGAGUGUCACUAGUAUGCCUCUACUUGACUAGCUCGUUGAUCAAAGAUGGUUAUGUUUCCUAACCAUAGACAUGAGUUGUCAUUUGAUUAACGGGAUCACAUCAUUAGGAGAAUGAUGUGAUUGACUUGACCCAUUCCGUUAGCAUAGCACUUGAUCGUUUAGUUUGUUGUUAUUGCUUUCUUCAUGACUUAUACAUGUUCCUAUGAUUAUGAGAUUAUGCAACUCCCGUUUACCAGAGGAACACUUUGUGUGCUACCAAACGUCACAACGUAACUGGGUGAUUAUAAAGGUGCUCUACAGGUGUCUCCGAAGGUACUUGUUGGGUUGGCGUAUUUCGAGAUUAGGAUUUGUCACUCCGAUUGUCGGAGAGGUAUCUCUAGGCCCUAUCGGUAAUGCACAUCACUUAAGCCUUGCAAGCAUUGCAACUAAUGAGUUAGUUGCGGGAUGAUGUUUUACGGAACGAGUAAAGAGACUUGCCGGUAACGAGAUUGAACUAGGUAUUGAGAUACCGACGAUCGAAUCUCGGACAAGUAACAUACCGAUGACAAAGGAAAUAACGUAUGUUGUUAUGCGGUCUGACCGAUAAAGAUCUUCGUAGAAUAUGUGGGAGCCAAUAUGAGCAUCCAGGUUCCGCUAUUGGUUAUUGACCGGAGACAUGUCUCGGUCAUGUCUACAUAGUUCUCGAACCUGUAGGGUCCGCACGCUUAAAGUUUCGGUGACGAUUGUAUUAUGAGUUUAUGUGAUUUGAUGUACCGAAGGUAGUUUGGAGUCCCGGAUGAGAUCGGGGACAUGACGAGGAGUCUCAAAAUGGUCGAGACGUAAAGAUCGAUAUAUUGGACGACUAUAUUCGGACAUCGGAAAGGUUCCGAGUGAUUCGGGUAUUUUCGGGAGUACCGGGAGUUACGGGAAUACGAGGAAGAAGUAAUGGGCCUCAUGGACCAAGUGGUGGAAGAGAGGAGGCAGGGCGCGCGGCCCUCCUAGCCCAAACCGAAUUGGACUAGGGGGCCGGCCCCCCUUUCCUCCUUUUCCUCCUUCUCCUUCCUUCUCCUUCUCCUCCUUCCUUUCCUCCUCCUAGUAGGAGUAGGAAAGGGGAGUCCUACUCCUACUAGGAGGAGGACUCCUCCUCCUGGCGCGCCCAUAGAGGGCCGGUCGGCCUCCCCCCUUGCUCCUUUAUAUACAGGGGCAGGGGGGCACCUCUAGACACACAAGUUGAUCUUCGUGAUCGUUCCUUAGCCGUGUGUGGUGCCCCCUUCCACCAUAUUCCACCUCGGUCAUAUCGUAGCGGUGCUUAGGCGAAGCCCUGCGUCAGUAGAACAUCAUCACCGUCAUCACGCCGUCGUGCUGACGAAACUCUCCCUCAACACUCGGCUGGAUCGGAGCUCGAGGGACGUCACCGAGUUGAACGUGUGAGAACUCGGAGGUGCCGUACGUUCGGUACUUGGAUCGGUCGGAUCGGGAAGACGUACGACUACUUCCUCUACGUUGUGUCAACACUUCCGUUGCUGGUCUACGAGGGUACGUAGACGACACUCUCCCCUCUUAUUGCUAUGCAUCACCAUGUUCUUGCGUGUGCGUAGGAAAUUUUUUGAAAUUACUACGUUAUCCAACAAUGACGUACCUCUCCACCAACCCGGUACAACACCAACGCACCAAGCACGUGGAGAUUGAUCUUCAUUUCGUGCGCGACCGCGUUGUCUUCGGAGAUGUUCGUGUUCUGCAUGUUCCGGCAACCUCCCAGUUUGCCGACGUUUUCACCAAGGGGAUACCAACCGGCGUCUUGACAGAGUUCCGGUCCAGCCUCAAUGUCGUCGAAGACCCCGUUGCGGCUGUGGGGGGCUGCUGGAAUUGUAAAACGCCUCCUGCAUGUACAUUACCGGGUCCCUCGGCUGGACAGAUCGGCUCGCGCAAGUAGCAUGGGACACCUGCGUCUGUUACACACGAUCCCCUUCUCCGUUGCUUGUAGCUGCUGUACCUAGGCGUAUAUAUAUAACUCUGUACAAUCUGGAAUAGACACGGUGAAGAUCACCUUUCAACUGUUCGCACUGUGCGGCCAAACCUUGUUUGGCUGGGACUGACAAAUGAAAAUGAUGCACCCGAGCACAUCCAGAAGGAUCUGAACGCUCGCAGUCCAAACCAGCUUAUCGGCAUUGGUACAGAGUUGAGGCAAAACCGAGCAGUGAAGCAAGCUCCAGCAUUUUCAACAUGAAGGAAACGAAAAAGACGAAACAGGCUCCAACAUUCUCGUCAAAAAAGAUAAGAAAAGGAAAAAAGAAACAGGCUCCAGCAUUCUUGACACAAAAGAAAUGAAGAAGGAAAACGAAACAGGCUCAGGCAUUCUUGACACAAAAGAAAAGAAAAAGGAAAAGGAGAAAGGCUCCAAUAUUCUUGACAAAAUAGAGAAGCAAAAGAAAAAGGAAUCAGGCACAAGCAUCCUCGACACAGAAGAAAAGAAAAGGGAAAAGGAAAUUGGAUCCAGCAUUCUCGAUAAAAAGGAAGAGAAACAGGAAACAGGUUCAACCAUUCUCGACAAAAAGGAAAAGAAAAAGAAAACAGGCUCCGACAUUUUGGACAAAAGAGAAAAGAACAAGGAAACGAAAACAGGCUCCAGCAUUGAUCUCGACAAGAAAGAAAAGAAAAAAAUUUGAAAAGCAAGCUCCGUCAGAACGGUAACAGUAGCACCAAUGCUAAAGAAGAGCAAAUUGAACAGUAGCACCAAGGUGAAGGAAGCUCAAGACCGAUGAGAUGUCCUGGUUUCUAUAUAUCCAAUUAAUAUACCAUAUUUUAAUUAUUGUAACAAUAUGAUUGUAUUUUUUGUGAUGUAAUGAGUCGUUUGAUUCGAACCUCUGUUUGUUCAGUUUCUGCUUGCUGCUGUUGUAAUCACAAACCGUCAUGUCAAAUAAAUGGAGUGAAUAGCAAAAAACUACCAUAUUACGGGCUAUCGUUCCGGAAAACUAUCGCUUGUUUUAAUUUUUCAAAAAACUACCACAAAAGUGGCUGGCUGUUCCAAAAAACCCAAGUGGCCGAACGGUUAAGUUUUAACUGGGGUUAUGACAUGUGGGGCCCGCCCGUCAGGGUUUUGUCGGCCACAGUGCUCACGGCGCGCGGGUGACGGCCGUUAGGGCGCACGGCCCGUCCCGACGAGGUCAAAAUGGAUCCGGCCCUCACUCUGUCUCCCUCUCGCUCACUCACUCUCUCCCCCCUCACUCUCACUCUCCCCCCUCGCUCUGUUUCCCCUGGCCGAGCUCUCCAUCGUCGCUGACCACCUCAGUUCCUCGUCGCCGGCCAGGAUGCCUUCUUGGAAUGAUGGGGAUGAGAGCUCCGACGAUAGCAUGGGGGGCAACCUGAUGGACAUGGAGUACUUUGUAAGCCUCAUCGUCCUCCUCUCUGUCAUUAUCUAGGGUUAGGGUUGAAUCGAUUUGGGAAUGAGGGUUGAUGAGCUGUAUAUUUGUAUGCAUGGAUUCAUUUGGUUUGGUUAUCUAUUAGUUUUGAUCUAGGGUAUGGAUGGCACUGUGAUGUCUGAUCUGACCUUGAGCAAGGCAAAGCUUGACUCAAGUUGAACUAGUUGAUGCAUUGGUUCUGAUCUACCUUUUACUGCAUGUAGGACACACCUGACACCAUCCCUGAGCCACUCUGGUGUGGUGCUCCCAUGGAGGAAGUUGCCAAGUGUACUCUGCAUGAUAUGAAGCCUAGGAAGUGUGUUGCUUUUGAAGGUGCUAAGACUGGGAGGAGGUUCUAUGGAUGCCCUGUUCAGGUGAGUAAUUGAGUAUCCUGGGUGGAUUCAGUUAUGCCUAGUGGAUUCAGUUAUUCCUAGUGGUUACUGAAUUUGUACAUUAACUCUAUUUGAACUGAAUUUAGUACUGAAUUUAUGGUUACAUGUCCUCCUUGUGUACCAACCCUCUUUUUGAAUUGAAGUUAGAACUGAAUUUCUGCAUUUUCUGAAGUAUGUGUUCUCUGAUCAAACUACAGGGAGGUGUGAAUUGUGGUGUAGUUCAGUGGGUUGAUCCUGCCUGGCCUGAUGUACUUAAGAACUGCCUCAUCAAGUUGUGGGAAAUGUUCCAUGAGCAAAACCUUGGAAGGUUUCAAGACAAGCAUGCAUAUGAGGAUGAGGUUGCCAAGUUGAAGAAGGACUAUGAUCUGCUCUGCACUGAGUAUCAUAAAAUGGUUGAUGAUGUUAGCAAGAUGUUUGACUGGCAUGAUGGUGUUGGCAAGAUUGACUACCAAAAAGCAAUGGAUGCUGGGAAAUUUGAGAAGCAGAAGGAAGAGCUAGAGCUGGAGAUGAAGAUGGAGAAGCUAAGGCUAGCAAAAGAACAGAGGUGUAUCCUUCAGGCCCAGGCAGACAUAAUUCACAACACCAGGAAGGCAAUGAAAGAGAUAAAGGUGGACAGGGAUCUUUUUGCACAAGAGAAGACAAAGCUUGAGAAAGUAGUUGCUGAUCUGCUAAAUGCUGGCCAUGGGAGCAAGGAAAAGCUUGAGAAAAUCAAGGCCAUACUGGAGGCUUGAAGAUUUGGACAAUGGUGGUUAAGUAAGUAAGGUGGCCUACACAUAUAACAGGCCUUGCAAGAUGAUGGUAGGAGUAUAUUUUGUGCAGUCCUAUAUGAACUAUUUAAGUUAUGGUAACUAGAGUGGUGGAGAACCUUUGCUAAGUCUGGCUUAUGUUAUUGUACUGUUAAGAACCUAUCUAUCUUAAGUAAUGCAGUGAAGAACUGUUUUAUUUCUUUAGGUUGUUUUCCUGAAAGUAGCAAUGCUGAACUAGUAUAUUUUUGGGCCUAAAACCAUUAUGUACACAUUGUGGGCCUAGACUGGGCUGUUUUAUUACUCCACCUACCUACCACCAACCAUUAGUAGUCUAUAAAGCCCACCCCUUGAGUGAAACCGCAGUCAAUCCCCCCAUCCCCACCCUUCUCAACCCCCCAGCCGCCAAAGAAACCCUAGAAUCCAAGGGAGAGAUGGAUCCUGGAGAGGUCAUAGAUGGAGAAGAAGAGGUGCCCAGACAAGCCAGGCGCAGAGAUGCAAGGAGGAGGGCGAGAAGGCAACUUGCUGAGAUGAUCCUUGCAACACGCAACCGCAAGGACAUAAAGCAGUUCCUGGAGGCAUUCCCCCCUGGUUCCAACCCUAGUGAUGAUGAUAUCAUCUACUGGGCAAGGAGGAGGGCAAAUUUCCAUCCCUUUUAGGUCACUAGGCAAAGGUGGACUAGGAUUUUGUACCCAUGAUGCUGCUGUUAUGUUUCUUUGUUCCUAGAUCUGUCUUUCUAUCUAUGUGAUGUUUGAAGUUGGUGUAAGAACAAUGUUGAAUGAGCUAUGUAUGUGACGAAUCAAGUUGUCCAUGAUGCAAUGCAAUGUAUGAAGCUGGUGAAAGAAAAAUGUUGAAUGAUCUAUCUAUGUGAUGAAUCAAUCUGUCUAUGAUGCAAUUUAUGAGUGAAUCUUUUAUCUAUAUUUGUAUGUAUGAAUGAAUUGAUCUGGUGAUCUUGAUGUUUUAAGUUAGAUAUGUUAUGGUUUGUUCAGAUGGCCAUAUCUUGUUGUUUUAGGUUUGAUCUCUUAGGGUUUGGUGCCUAGAUGGGAAAAUCUUGAUGUUUUAGCUUUGAUAUGUUAGGUUUUGGUCCUAGAUAGCCACUUUGGGGUUGGUCAACAAGUAGCCACCCAAAGUGGCCAAAUUUGGGUGGCUUUAGGGUUGGUCGACAAGUUCCACCCCAAAGUGGCCAAAUGUGGCCACUUUGGGGUUGGUCGACAAGUAGCCCCCCAAAGUGACCAAAUUGACCUAAUCAUAUCAAUCAAUUAUCAACAAAAUAAAUCACUUGAUCUACAUAACAAUGCUCAGCAUAAGAAAUAAUUUCAUAUGAAACAAUUCAUAACCUAGGACAUAUCAAAUCAAAAUAAAGCUUGACAACAGAUAACUUAAUUGUUCCAAGCAGUUCAAACACAGACCAUAUAACUUAAUUGUUCCAAGCAGUUCAUACAUAGACCACAUAACUUAAUUGUUCAAAUGAAAAAAAAGUUCACUGCAAAUAACACAGAUAGCAAGCAUGCCUAGCAAGUAGAGUUCAAGGCAUAAAGCAUAGUUGAGUGCAACACAUUCAAUGGUUGCCACUGGCUGUGAAAUACAAAGCAAGUUUGCUUGGGGCCUUCCUCUUCCUCUUAGAACCAACAUCAGCUUGACCUGAUGUUGAUGCUGCCCUUGGAGCAUUGAAACCUCUUGCACUUGACCUGGUGUUCUUUACUGGAGAUGAUGCACUUGACCUGGUGUUGUUGGCUGGUGCUGAAGCAGGUGGUGGGUUCUUUCUCUUUCUUGAUCCACCUGUUGAAACUGCAGUAGAUGUGGUUGCCCUUGUUGUAGCAGAUGUGGUUGACCUUGUUGAAGUUGUUGCUAGUUUCCUGCCCCUAAGUGGUCCUAAAGCUGGAGCUGGACCUGAAGCUGGAGCUGGACUUGAAGCUGGAGCUGGACCUGAUGAUGUGGCCUGGUGGUUGUUUUUCCUUGUCAUAAACUUGGCCUUAAGUCCGUCUCCAUAGAUUGUCCACCUGUGGCCUUGCAGACCACAGUUACUGCAUGUUAUUGUGCCCAUCCUUGAUGUAUCCUUUGGAGCUGGCACCUCAAAUUCACCCUUUCUCCUAGCUGUCUGCUUCUUGCCUUUCUUCUCCCUGAAAACUGGUGGUUCUAUGUCUGGUGUGUUGGUGUUGGGCCAGAAUUCAGGGCCAGGGACAGGGUAGAUGAUGUGCUGGUAUGCAGCCUUAUACAUUGGCUUCUUAAAGAAUGGAUGCACAUAAUCUUCUGGGUGAACUUUUAUCUUCUGCAUUGCAGAUAUUGCAUGGUGGCAAGGUGAUCCAGUCAUGUCCCACCUCCUGCAAGAGCAGCUCCCUACAUCAAGCUUCACACAAUAUGUGUUCUCUCCACUAGUUACUUGCCAGAUGUUGGGACCAGCCAUGUUUGCUUCACAGUAUUUAGCCCACUUCUUGCUCUCCUCAAGCUUCUCCAUGUAAUCUGGGGUUAUUUCCCACCUACAGCUCUCUGUUUUCUCUCUGAUGCCCUGGUACUUAACCAUUAGUUUGGUCCUCAACCCUUCAAACAUGGUCUUAAUUAGUUUUGACCUAACAUCUAGAAUCAUUUUUUUGAAAACCUCACUAAGGUUGUUCACUACCAAGUCAGUCUUGCACACAUGAUCCAUUGCAUAUCUAGCCCAACACUCCUUAGGGAUGCCAUUCAACCACAUGUAGGCUGGUUCACAUGCUGCUUUCAAACCUGCCAUUCCUUCUUUGUGACCAUGUUUAGUGAAGGAAUAGCUAGCUUUGUCAACCCAUUUCUUAAGUUCUUCUGCUCUAAAGCCAGCUGACUGGAAGUUGGCAUAUAUGUGUCUUAGGCAAUAUCUUUGUGGGGAUUGAGGAAAUACUUCAUUAAUUGCUUUAAGAAGGCCCUGUUGUUUGAUUACAUAAGGUAGUAAUGAGAUAACUAUAGCAGCAUUGCUAUGUGCAUAAGAAUAAUACAGAGCCAGAGAAAAUACCUUCUGCCUGUCAGACAUGAUGGUGUAGUUUCCAAACUGGUUGCUGGUGCCAAUGCAGACUCUAAGUUGGUUUAAAAACCAGGUCCAGCUAGGCCCAUCCUCUUUGUCAACCACCCCAAAAGCAAUUGGGAACACAUUGUUGUUCCCAUCUCUCCCAGUUGCUACCAAUAUCUGUUGGCCUGUGGAUAACUUGAUGAAGCAACCAUCAAGUCUUGCAUAAACAGAGAUAGUUAGGGCAAAAUUGAAUAACUUGAUUACAUUUGUAACAUGAUUAAAUCACUGAUUUGUACCUAUGAAAGGCCUACAACCAGCAAGAAAUCCAUCUUUUGAUGCCUGGAGGCAAUAGAACAUGUACUUGAACCUUGGUGUGGGGGCUGGGUUCAAAGGAUCCUCAAAAGUUGUCACUAUGCACCUGCUUCCAGGGUUUGUGUCAAGCACACAUUGUAGGUAGUCCCUCAACCUCAGAUACUGCUUUCUAUGAUCACCUUGCACAACAUCAACAGCCAUCAGUCUUGCCCUAUAUGCCAAACUCCUAGGUACAUGCACCCCAAACUUCUUCUUAGUAUGUUUGAGAACUGUCUCUACAUCAGCCUUUACAUUUGAUCUAACUGUGUCCUCCACAGCUUCUGCAACCCAUUCAGCAGUAACCUUUGUACUCUCUCCACAAGCUCCACAACUAUGAUCCAUGUGGCACUUCUUGAUUGUGAAUGUAUCUUCAUGGGCUACUUUGGAUGCAGUCAUGAAAAAAUCACAUCCAUUCUUCCUCUCUGGGCACCAAACAAUAACCCUUGAUGGUUCAUUCCUAUGGUACUGAAAGUUUCUCAAAGUCCUAACAUGAAAAUUUCUCAAUGCCUUUCUAAACUCAUACACAUUGGUGAAGCAAAGGUCCUUGCACAGCUGCUCAUGUGCAUCAGGUACCUUUGGGUCAUACCAUUUCCUCUCUUUCUUCUUCUUCAAUCUUCUCUUCCUUCCAGAAGGUAGUCUUGGAGUCUCCCCAUCUGAGUCAGAAAUGCCCAUAUCACCAGGGAAGCAAUACUCAUCAGCUUCAAGUACAAAAUCUUGAAACUUUGGGAUCUCUGGCUGACUGUGAGCUCUGGAAGUUGGACCUGGAUUUGCUACUGCUCUUCUCACAGGCUUGAGUUUCUCAGGCCUGCAUUUUUCCACAACUAUUUCCUCUCCACUGUCUGCCUCUUUCUCCUCCUGCCAAAACUCUGAAACAUCACUGUCACCUUCAAACUGUGGUCUGUCUUCUAUAGCAUCUCUUUCUUCUUCAUUUCCAAUAUUUUCUUCACCUCUCUUCCAAGCCUUGUAAGACAUCUUUAUCCCUCUAUAGUCACCCCUAUCAAUCUCAAAGUCUGAGGAUGAUUUGUCAAUAUCAUCAUCCUCUUGACCAGCAGCCUGUCCAUCAUCAUCUCCACCAUUAGCUUCUGAAAUGUUGAAGUUACAGCUUUGCUGUGUGUUCAAAUUAACUUCAAGAGGGUGGACCACUCCAUCUUGUGACAGACUUAACACAAAACCAGGACCCCCCAGUGGGUUGCCUAUUGGAAUUUGUUCUUCACAAACAUUGUGAGCCCUGUUACAUUCAACAUCUCUAUCUUCAUUUGCCUUGGAAACAAUGAUAUUGAGCACUGUGAAAUCUAAGUGGUCUAUCAUUUCUUCAACUGCAUCUUGACUGUCCAAAAGAAAUAAACCUUCCUGUCCAAUCCCUUGUUCUUUUACCCAGUACAUGUAGUCAUCUGACCCAUAGCCUUCAGUCUCAGUAAGUGCUAUCAAGUUCAGAAAUGUGAUGUCUGAAACAGAAAACCUCCUUUCCAUAUUAUCUCUGCCCUGGAAAUGCAGCCUAACAUCCCAAACUUCAUCAUCUAGCCUGCAUUACAUAAUAUGUUAUUUGAAAAGCCCAACUAAGUAAGUGUUUUUGCUACAAAUAUUCAGUGCACACUACUAUAAAGUACAGUAAGGAAUCUGAAUCCAAAAAAUGCUUCUCUGAAUCCACCAUGCAUUUCUACUAAAUCUAACUAAUCCUUCAGUGCUAAGUGAUACUGUUGCAUCCAAAACAUGCCACAGAGUGUUUGCUCAACUAUUAUUCAGUGCAUGUUCAUGUUCUAAGAUGAAUCACAGCAGCAUCAACCUAGGGUUUGGUCAAAAAACUAACUAAAUUAUGCUAUGUUAUUUGAAAUGAACAAGCAGAAAUGCAGAAACUGUUGAAGGAGCUCAUAAGAGGAAAAAAACUUACUCCACCCCUCCAAAUGCAGAGGCCCAGUGCUGGGAGUUGGCCGGAUCUGCCUGCACAGCCCUAUCAAGAGACCUCGCUGCUCUGUACUCAAGCGAGAACUGGCAAUCAUCAGGCGACGGUGGUGUAGCCUGUGUCGUAGGAGCCUGCAUCAGAGCUGCAGCCUGUGGUGUCCGCUGCGGCGGCGGCGGCGCCGCCGGCUAGGUUGCGAAGCUACCACUCCCCAGCCAGUUAUCAACCUCUAAGAACUCGCCGCCUCCAUCCCCCCUUCCACCUCCACCCGUUGAAUGGCCGCCAUCGCCUAGUUUCGCCGCCGCCGCCGCCAUCGGAGAGGGAGGCGCGCACAAGAGAGAGGGAGACAGAGAGGGGGAAGACAGAGUGAGGGCGGGCCGGAUCCAUUUGACUUGGUCGGGACGGCCCGUGUGCCCUAACGGCCGUCACCCGCGCGCCGUGAGCACUGUGGCCGACAAAACCCUGACGGGCGGGCCCCACAUGUCAUAACCCCAGUUAAAACUUAACCGUUCGGCCACUUGGGUUUUUUGGAACAGCCAGCCACUUUUGUGGUAGUUUUUUGAAAAAUUAAAAAAAGCGGUAGUUUUCCGGAACGAUAGCCUGUAAUGUGGUAGUUUUUUGCUAUUUACUCCAAAUAAAUGCUUAAAAAGAGUGCAUCUAAUGGAGUAGUACAAAAUGGUAAAGAAAAUAAAUCAGCCACUAAUGGAGUAACAAAGGUGAUAGCACGGAGUUUGGUAGGCACCGACAAUGAGUAAGCAGGCUGAGGCCACCGGUGCACGAAGAGGAUCAGAAGCGCUGGUUGGGGCUGUGGUUUGGGGCGGCUGCGAUGAAACUUCUUAUUCAACGCUUAUAGCACCGUUUACAGUGUUAUCGGUACCUUUUUUUUGAGGGAAAGAGCCAACUUUAUUAAUCAAAAUCCACAGUGCGUGGGACACAACGAUGGUCAUGGGGCUGGCCAAGCCACACAUGACGCCCUGGUGGUAGCGAUAAAGAAAACCUAGCUAUCUCGUGAGCUUCAGCAUUCUGAGCUCGACUCUCAAAGGUGAAAUUACAUAAAAGUGGUGAUGAGCUCAUCUUUAUCUCUCUGAUUAUAGCUCCAUAAGUGCCAUGACUACCCAUAGCAAUGUCGCCAAUGACUUGUUUGCAGUCCGAAGCCACCACAAAACGUUGCACAUUAAGAUCUUGUGCUAGGGAAAUAGCCUCCCGACAUGCUAUGGCCUCCAGUGUCGCGGGGUCGCAAACUCCGACAAUGACAAGUGAUGAGCUCCCCAUAUAGACACCCUGGCUGUCACUGCAUAUGGCCGCGGCCGUGCCACCCCUCUGAAAUCUUACUGCCACGUCAACAUGAACCUUAGCAUAGCCAGCAGGUGGAGCCUUCAGCCUCUGAGUAGAAGCGUGGCCAGUAGCUGCAGAACGUACGUUGAUCUUUGCAGGGAGUGAGGCAGUAGCCAAAUCAGCCAUGAAGCGAGUUAUAAACUCCUUCGUCGCCCUGGGUGAUUGGAAUAUUGAUUCAUGGAUAGCUUUUCUCCUCGAGGUCCAGAUCGCCCAUAAGGUGACCGCCAGCAGAGUGAACUUCUCAUGUGUUAGCAUAUCCAUUAAUCCAAAGAGCCAGCUCUUCGCCCUCGUCUCCGUUGAUGCGACCAGACUGCAGCCCAAGUCCUCAUCUACCAACGCCCAUAUGCAUCUGGAGACUGUGCACUCCAGGAGGGAAUGACUCCAUGAAUCAGGAGAACCGCAGAGGCCGCACGAGCUAGUCGUUGACAUAUUACGAUGGGCCCUCACAUCCUCCGUCGGUAGUGACUGUUUUGAUAAACGCCAUAGAAACAUGCGUACUUUUGCUGGUACCACAGUUUUCCAGAGGGACUUCCAAGAGGCUUCAUCGACAUGGUUGCUGGAUGAUGCGCCGGAGCCCUCUAGCCACGCCUCUCGCCGUUGCUUCAUAGAUACCAACAUAUUAUAGGCUGACCUGACUGUGAAUUGUCCGGUUCUCUCGUGCAUCCAGCUCCAAAAGUCCUGCAUAGGAGCCGUACACAACGGGAUACCCAUGAUGAUUUUAGCAUCGAAAGGCAAGAAAGUUGCUUCCACCACAGAUCUCUUCCAUGAAGCAUUAGUUGCAUCGAUCAGUUCAGAUACUGUGUUGGGAGGAUUACUUACGCAACAACCAUACGGUCUCAUCAUCUCUGACCGGGGAAGCCAGUUUUCGGUCCAAAUGCUGGUGCUCGCCCCAUCUCCUAUCCGCUUGAUCAGUCCCAAUUUAAGAAUAUCCCGGCCUUCCACUAUGGCUCUCCAUAUCUGACUUGGAUGGUUCCCAAGUGUUGCCUCAAGUAUAGAUGUAUGUGGAAAAUAUACGCUCUUCAGAAUCCGUGCACUCAGAGACUCGGGGUCUUGUAACAUUCUCCAUGCCUGCCUGGCUAACAUGGCAAGAUUGAAAAGCUCAAAAUCUUUGAAUCCAAGGCCUCCCAUGCUUUUUGGUUGUGUCAUUGCUUCCCAAGAGACCCAGUGAGGUUUGCGUUGGCCGUUUGAGCUCCCCCACCAAAAUUUCCUUAUUAGCAUAUUGAGGUGCUCACAUAACCCCCUAGGUAGUUUGAAACAAGACAUGGAAAAUACCGGCACUGACUGGGCAACAGAUUUGACUAGUACCUCUUUUCCUGCCGCCGACAAAGUUCUCUCUAUCCAUCCCUGAAUUUUGCUCCAUAAUCUGUCCUUCAAAUAUUUGAAGGCACCGUUUUUUGAACUCCCUAUAUCAGAUGGCAUGCCCAGAUACUUCUCAUUCAAGGUUUCCUUGGGGACAUUGAACAUACCUUUUAUAGCAUUGCGAGUUUCCUCAGAAACGCCUUUACUAAAGAAAAUUGAGGAUUUGUUGUAGUUGAUUCUUUGACCUGAAGCUUGGCUAUAAAUUUCCAACAACUGGUUAACCUCUGUAGCACCCGCACUGUUGGCCUUGAAGAACAGCAGGCUGUCAUCAGCGAAUAGAAGAUGGUUAACUAGUGGUGCCUGCAGCGCCACCUGAAUCCCACCCAAGUUUGAUGACUCACUUUGUGAUUUGAAAAGGCACGACAUGCCCUCUGCUGCUAACAAGAACAAGUACGGUGAUAUUGGGUCACCUUGUCGGAUUCCACGUGAUGGGUUGAACUCCUCAAGUUUCUUUCCAUUGAACAUGACUGCGAAUUUUACUGAGGUAACCAUGCCCAUUACAAUAUCCACCCACCUUCUGUUAAAACCCAAUAUAAUCAUGAUGGCUUAGAGAUAAGCCCAUUCAACUCGAUCAUACGCCUUCAUCAUAUCCAAUUUCAGAGCACAUGAGUGAUUUUUCUUUUCCUUGUUCCUCUUCAUGAAAUGCAAUCACUCAUAUGCCGUUAUUAUGUUGUCUGUGAUCAAUCUCCCCGGAACAAAGGCUGAUUGUUCAGCAGAAAUUAUAUCUGGCAGUAUCUGUUUGAGUCUGUUGGAGAUUACCUUGGACGCUAUUUUAUAGAGCACGUUACAUAAACUUAUGGGCCGAAACUGGGCAAGGAGUGUGGGGUUUUUGACCUUGGGGAUGAGAACCAGCACCGUAUUGUUAAUGCAUGCUGCUGACUCUGUCCCGUCCACAAUUUUGAGUACCACUUUCGUUACAUCUGCACCGCAUACAUCCCAGUGGCGCUGAAAGAAGUGAGCGGGGAAUCCAUCCGGGCCAGGGGCUUUGAUUGGAAACAUUUGGAACAACACACUUUUCACUUCAUCGUGUGUGUAAGGAGCAUUCAGACGAUCGUUCAUUGCCUGCGUUACUUUAGUAGAUACUGACUCCAGUACCCUAUCCAUGCCCUGUACUCCCUCGGUUGUGUAUAAGUUUUUGUAAAAUUCGGUGGUAAGCUCCUCCAUCUCCUCCCUGUCCUCGGUCAGCUAUCCAUCCGAUCGCUGCAACAAUUUUAUCUGGUUCUUCCGGCGGCGGCGGCUCGCUCGCAGGUGAAAAGAAUAAGUGUUUUUGUCACCAUGGACCAGCCAAUCCAGUCGAGCGCGUUGGCGCCACAUCAAUUCCUCUCUAUCAAACAGUUCGACCAGUCUGUCAGCUAUCUUGGUUUCAGUGUUUGUCGGUCCCGUCCGUCCUGGCGCUGAACGCAUGACCUCAAGCUGGCGUUGGAGUUGGCGAAUCUCCAUACGCACCGAUCCGAAGUUGUUGCGGUCCCACGCUGACAAAUCUCCCGCCAGGUUCCCUAGUUUUGCAUGUAUGCCCUCAACCGAUUCUCCAUCCUGCAGACUCCAGCUAUCACGCACAGUGUCAAACAGUGUUUCGUCCCUUUCCCACAUCGUCUCAUAUUUAAAAGCCUUGUGGCCCAUUUUGCAUGCAUGCAACUCACGUAGCUGAAGAAGAAUAGGAAUGUGAUCUGAACUAGCAGCACUUUUGUGCGAUAGCUGUGAUGAUGCGAGGGCGAGAGUCCAUUCUGUAUUUACCAGGCACCUGUCCAGCCUAACCUGGGUGUAGGUGCCUCCUGUGACCCUUUUUUCAAAUGUCCAACUAGUGCCAGAGUAUCCAAUAUCUGAUAACCCACAUGUAUCAACUGCUUCCCUGAAUGCUUCUAUUUGGGCUUGGCUUCGUUGUCCCACACCAUCAUGUUCAUGGCUGUGAAGAACCUCAUUAAAAUCUUCCAUGACUGCCCACGGUCUGUUCUGCGUCUCAGCAAUACCGCGCAGGGUGUCCCAUGUUUUGUAUCUCUCUGGUACCUGGGCUUCGCCAUAGACAAAGGUAAUUCUUACCUGCAAAUCAACUAAGUCAUCAACAAGAAUAUCAAUGUGAUACUUUGAGUAAUCGAUAACUUCCACUUUUAUUUCAUCGUUCCAAAAAAUUCCAAGUCCACCACUUCUACCGGAACUACUAACUGCAAAGCUUUUAUUGUAGCCUAUGCUAUCAGCCAUACUCUCAACCCUCUUUCCCUCUAUUUGAGUUUCAAGAAUACAAACAAUAGAGGGGGCAAACUGCCUCGCUAGAUCGUGAAGCUCUCUAACUGUCGCGGCUUUGCCAAUCCCGCGAAAGUUCCAGCAAAGAAGACUCAUUGCGCUAGGCGCGGCCCCGCUUCGGAGCCCGCCACAUGCGCAUCAGGGUUUUUGGUAGAAACUGUGCUCUUCUCCAGAGCUGACUCAUUAGACGAGGUUGACUUCAAUCUUUUCAGAUCCUGCUUGGGAGGAGGGCUAAGGGGCACCGCAGGUGAUGGCAGAAACAGUUGCUUCGUCUGUUGUACCGAAUAGGUUGGGAACGUGGUUUUUGGAUCAUGUGCCCCUCUCUUCCUGUUGCGAUCAACCUCAGUCAUUGCUACAUCUCCGUCUCGCUGAUCACGUUCCUGGUGAUGUUGAUCAUCAAACGAGUCUGCACUAUUGGGCGAUCGUCCUCUUCCUCUUCCCCCACGGCCUCUGCCGCGACCUCUCCCUGCAUUGCUGCUCUCGCCUUGAUAUCUUUGAAGACCAGAGUCUUUGGGGCAUGAACCCCGUCCCCGCACUCUUUGUGUUGGUGACCUAGAUGUCCACAAACUGCACACCAGUCCGGCAGUCUUUCAUAUUUGACUCUAAAGAUGACUCGUUCCACCGAAUCCUUUUUCCUUAUUACCAGUGAAACAACGUUCUUCAAAGGUUUAGUGACAUCGAUCCUGACUCAAACUCUAGCAAAGUUACCUUCAAAAUCCGGGGAUCUAGGCUCUGCAUAUAUGAAUUCUCCCAUAGUAGCAGACAUAGCUUUGACCUUAGAAAAGAAGCCAUCGGGCAGGUCGUGAAUCUGGAUCCAAAUUUCCAAUUUGUUGAGCUCUAUAGACGACGGCUUUGUGAAGCCAUCAUACUCUGCCAGAACUACUGCUUUCCCCUUGAAAUUCCAGGGGCCAUCUCCCAUAACCCUCUCCCAGUCACCCAGGCACGAGAAUUGCAUUGAGUACAGAUUAUCUUCCAGUGGUCUGAUCUUUACCUCUUGAGCUAGGUCCCAGGCCACUCUCAUAUUCCUAUAAAACCAAUAUUGGCUGUAUGUUUUCUCCGUGUGAACCCUAGCCAACGCCAUCCAGCGUGUUUCUUCCUUCGGCAGCUCGGUGUCUUCCACCACAACAUCAAUCAGAUCAUCUUCUUUCAGUCCAAGUUCCUCCAUCAUCGCAGCCAGAUUGGACGCAGUUGUACUUGAUCCAGAUGCAGUCGAACUCAUCAUGCGCUCGCUCGAGGUUAGGGUUCCGCGAGCGGUAGGUCCCAAGGAGUCACCACCCGCCCAGAACGCCGCGGCGGCCGAAGGCCACAGCGAUCGCCGGAAGGGGGUUAACAUCCGGGGAGGAAAAGUCCCUACGGUGUCGGCGUCGCCGUCGCUCGAGGGAAGAGAAAAACCCUAACGAGAGGGGAAACUUAGGAGGGAGAUUAGUGUUAUCGGUACCUGCCGCCCACACUACUUUAGAUAGCUAAUUGUAACUGGGCUGGCCCAUAUGUGUGAGCCCUCCUCCAUUACCGGUUGUGAAGGAAUUUCCUAUUCAACGCUUAUACCAUUUGUUAUAGUGUUUUCCUUUUGUUACAGUGUUAUCCGGGGACCUCCUACUUGGUCACCUGCGCGCAAAGUAGGAGGGAACGUGCACCCUUGGCUCCCAUGUAAGAGUUUUUCCCGCCCUAUUUUUAUUAUUUCAUUUUUAUGCCUUUUGUUUUUUCAUUUCUGUUUGUGUUUUUCUUCUUUAAAUAAUGUGUGGUUAAAAAAAUUCCCAAUUUCAAAACAAUACCAAAAUUGUUUGACAAAUCAGGAAAUAUUUGUGAAUUAAAAAUUGUUGAUGACUCUUCACUUCAGUGUCUCGACCCACCGGAACAAAAGCCGUGUGUACAAAUUGUGUUCGAAGCUUAUCGUAAACUGGCUUAGCAAGUGUAGUCUUGCCAAGUCUGCCUGGUCCAACAAUUGAGACCAUCUUCAUCUUGUGCUGCUGUUGCUUGAGACCAUGUGUGAGCCUCUUGGUUAGCUUGUUCCAUGCAUCUUCAAUGCCAACGAGCUCUUUCUGAUCAUUGUACAAAGCCAAUACACGAGGGUCAACCUUCUGUUUGCUAGCUGGAUUAGGAACAUCAUUGACCCUGUAUCUGGCACGCCGGCCAGCCAUCUCUUGAGAGCGGUUCUUGAUGUACCUGAUUGCAUCUCCGAUCUGAUGGCGAGUCUUGCCUUUUGUGAACAAGUUGGCCAUCUUCCCUACCUAUCAUUUGAUCAUGUUUGAGUUGGGGACGGCAUCAGAUUCAUAUCCCUCGACGGACACUAGGAAGUUAUCGAUGACAUCCUCCAUGUCAUACGACAGCUCCCUUUUAGGGAUUCAUGUCCCUUGGAAUCUCCGCCACCUUUACGAGGGCAGCGUUCAAGCUCUUCAUGUCCCUCUGGAGGGACUCGACGUACCGAAUAAAUGGGAGUUAGAGGACAGGAAUCUGUUGUAGGAAAGACAAAGGAAAUUGUUCUCCAUCGCCGUCCGGUUCCACUGGGAAAAAAUUACAUCCACUGCAACACCAAGACCGCAUGCUUACCGAGUAGUAGUAGAAGCAGCAGAGCUGAGUAAGGCACCCACUACCGAAUGCAGGGAUAAAUCCAGCACCAAGUAAGCAGCUCACAAGUGAGAGACGGCAUGCGCUUUGCGAACGGAAGGACAGGAGCAGAAAACAUUUUGGGAGAAAGAUCGACGUGGCUCAGAAAAUUGAAGGCGGUCUACUCCUCCUGAUUGAAGCCGGCGACUACACAAGCGCCAUGGUUUGAUGGAGCAAGAGAAAUGGUGUUGAACCCCCAACUCGUUCCAUUUCUAGCAGAAAAGUAGGGCAAUAAUUGAGUGGUGGUAUGUUAUUAGUGCUGGUAAUGGAGUAGGAAGCACCCUAGAAGUGCACCAACUAGUACAUCAAAAUACUCCUGCCAGUGGCGGUGGUAGAUCAUUCAUGUGUACUACUCGAUCGUAACAAGAACAAUUACAUGAACCAGCUUGUGCCACUAGUAAUAAUAUUUAGCUUAUUUUUACAUUAAGUUUUGCAAUGAAUAAUAUUUAGGUUAUUAAAAAGACUAUAGUUUAAUGGAUGGCCCAGAUUUGGAAAUAUUACUGCAGAUUUUUGGUAGUAAUAGACUUGCUUCACUUGUCGAUUUAUAUGAUCUGUCGCUUUCAGCGACGUUUGGGGCUGUGAUUUGGGUUUGUUGUCAUUGAAAUUGCACAACUAUAGAAACUGGAUUCUUUUUUAUUAUUAUAGUGAGCACAAGGAAUCAUGUUACUAGUUGAAUUCAUAGAAAAAGACUCCAUUCAGACUCUGUCCUGCUCCAUGAAAAUAUCCUAUCAGAUAGACGCAGAGCGGUACAUAUACAGACUCAGGUUUCUUGAAAUCUAAUGCAACCAAGUCUUGUACAAUGGUCACAUGUUAUGUGACCUGAACCAAUUAUGGGUUUGCACUUGAUAAUUCCCGCACGAACCACAUGUAAACAUGGUUCGAAGGCUUGAAUAACAAUGUAAAAUUGAUGUCAAGUUUUCCCGACUUGAUUCCUGUCUAGGUUGGAGUCAUCAGUCUACUUGAAGCACUCGUUUUUCUCAUCUACGUUGGAGGACUGAUUGGAGCAUGAAUUAGUUGAGGAGAUAGAAACCCAUUUUUGGCGAGGGAGAGGACAGAAACCCAUGACACAACAAGGUUUUCAUGAUCAUCAUUGGCUAACUUCAAAGUUCCAACAGAGUGCCAACUACCAAGUGAGUAGCAGUACAAGGCACUGUUCAGCUGAAUCAAUCUUUACAACAUUAACCUAUCAUUCACUGGCGUUUCAUACCCAGAAUUGACUCUUAUAACAGUACAGAAGCAAACCCCUACUUCGAGUCAGUGUUGCUCUGUACUUUUUUUAACGGAGGUUAUAACUACGGCCUCUUUAUUUAUUAUUCAGCGGCCAUCUUUAUUUAUUAUUCCACCAAAGUCUAACAAAAACAUACAUCAAGCUACUCGAAGACAUCACUCACACCUACAAAACUCGAAAAUGUAGAGUGCUCUCACACUCCUCAUAUCUAAACCGGUAUCGUCGCUGAUCCAUCCACAUAACGUGUCGGAACGAACAGCCAGUGCAGCAGACCUAAAGCGCACACCACAUGCACAUGUUUUAGACGCCGCCAUCAUCUGCAGACCGCUGACCCAUCUUCAGGAGAGAGAUCCACAUCAUCCUUGCCAGUCCGUCCAUCCAGUCCCUCCCUCCUCUCGGCCUCCCUAUUAUCCCUCCUCACCCUCUGCUGCUGAUCUGUGGCGGCCUCUCCAAUAGCUCUGUGGCCUUCUUUCGCUGCCGCACCGGCCCGAGCGUUGUCGCUUGCAAGCCGUCCGGAGGCCACAAUGGCGCUCUCCCGUCGGGACUUUGCCACAUUCCAGCAUAUCAGUUGCUCUGUCAUGGGGAUCUGUCCUGCUCCUAGCCGUGUCUCCCGCGAUGGUGGUAGACCUGACUUGUACUACAAUGUUCUUUGGUCGCACGGCUGGCCACGGCGGUUUGCUCCGUUCCUUUGUAUCUAUGUUGCAGCUUCAAUUGUGUUAUGCAUGUCAUGGAUGUAUUAUAAUUCUGGGAUGCAUGUAAUUGUAUUGCUAUGAAUCUUAAAAUUGCUAGGUGUUCCAUGAACCAAUGAAUAUGCUAGAAAAUAUUACUCUGUCAUAUAUAUGUUAGAAAAUGUUCUCGUCGGGCCGGGUUUCUCUGCCCUAGAGAACAUAUUCUACAUGUUAUAUGCGACAAUGUAGUGAUGAAUAUUUCACCGGAAAUAGUGUAAAUGCAACCAACUCCCCCAUUAGGAGACAGAGUGGAAUAUUGUUUGACGAUAGACUUGGUUUAUGCAUAUUCGACGCACGUUUGAAUUUUUUCUCCCGAGCCACAAGAAAGCUCCUCGCGCGACCGCGUCCGUCCCUCAUGGGCGGCCGGCCGCGCUGUCCAUCCCUCCUUCCCAGCGCUCUCCCCCACCCUCUCUCUCCCCACCGUUGCCGGGGUGCAUCCCCGGGCUCGGCUCGGGCGGCGCCGGCGGUGCGGCCCACGGCUUUCCCCCCUGCGGCAGAUCCUGUGCGGGGCGGCGCUGCUUAAGGAGGUGCUCUCAGGUGGCGAUGGUUCGGCGCUGCGGUGGGCUGGUUCGCCGCUGACUUCGGUGGUCAGAGGCGGAGGAGCUCCGCGGCGGCGCGGGCUGGUGGCGCCCGUUCGGCCCAGAUCUGGGCCGAGGCGGGCCGGCAGCUCCGAUUUGUGGUGUAUCUUCCUGGAAGCGGCGGUGGGGUGUCUGGAUCCUGGGUGGUGGCGGCAUCGUUGCCGGAUUGUGCAGCGUGGCGGUGGAGUCUUUGCGGGAUCGAUCUGAGCCCGGCUAGGCCCGGGUGGCCUGGUUUGCCUCCCGCCUCGGCGUCCGGCUGGCUACCGCGAUGGCGUUGGAGGAACUGGCCUCUGGCGCGGCGUCGGUGGAGGUUGUCCCCUCCCGCUUGGCUGCGGUGCUGCCACCCCCGGCUCCAUGCGUUCUCAUUUUCCGUCCUCUAGGCCUCGCGGUGGUGGCCUUAGUGAGACGGCGUGGGUGGCCUCAAGACCGCGGUGGCGAAGGAGGGUGGGUGGCGUGUUGGGUGGAAGACUCCGGAGCGAUUGGGUAGUGUGCACAAGUGUUAGAAUCCUAAAAGGUAAAUAGUUUCUUAAGAUCUGAAGCAAGUGUUGGAAGAUUCUGCUGCCUCUAGAUACACAACAAAUGUCCACAUGUUGCUUCUUGGAGAAGCCGAGAGAGCCUUGAGCGGAGUGUUUAACCUUAUGUAUGAUAUUCUUAACUACCAUUUGUAUUAAAUGAACCAAUAAACAUUUUAUGUUAAUUGUCUUGACAAAUUUUGCUGUGUGCAGACUUACAUAUUAGUGGCACUACACAAAAAAAGAUGGCUAAGGGGUUUAUGAAGUAGGAUAGAGAUUGGUGAGAAAAUAUGUGCCCUCUCUCUCGUUUGUAAAGAGGUUCAAAUGUUAUGUGUGUAGCUUUUGCUAGUAUUCUCGAAUCGUUGGCCGUGAAUUGUCAAUUGUGUAAAUGUACAUGUGAAUUGUCUUAUGAAAAACAAUGUGCAACUGAGUGAUUAUGCCUGUGUAUUGUGUUCAUGUCUUUCUGUAAAUUUCGUUUGCAUUGCUGGUAACAUACUGAAAUGAAGUGCAUGCAUGCAAUGGUGAAAUGAAUCGGUACGAUCGACUGGCUGGCGGUCCAAACUAGUACACUAUCACUGACCGGUUAGAUUGCGGGUCUAUGAUGAGCAAGUCAUCACAAACCCUGAUCCACUGACAGACCAGCAACUAGUUAGUGAUGAUGAAAUUUGGCCGGUAAGUGUUAUUCGGAUUUGUAGUANNNNNNNNNNNNNNNNNNNNNNNNNNNNNNNNNNNNNNNNNNNNNNNNNNNNNNNNNNNNNNNNNNNNNNNNNNNNNNNNNNNNNNNNNNNNNNNNNNNNNNNNNNNNNNNNNNNNNNNNNNNNNNNNNNNNNNNNNNNNNNNNNNNNNNNNNNNNNNNNNNNNNNNNNNNNNNNNNNNNNNNNNNNNNNNNNNNNNNNNNNNNNNNNNNNNNNNNNNNNNNNNNNNNNNNNNNNNNNNNNNNNNNNNNNNNNNNNNNNNNNNNNNNNNNNNNNNNNNNNNNNNNNNNNNNNNNNNNNNNNNNNNNNNNNNNNNNNNNNNNCUCGGGUUUCUGCCCCUUUAUGAUAUAUGAGAAAACUGAACGAUUCAGGUGAAACUAGUCAUGAUAAUAAUUAGCAAUUCUAGUAUUUUAACACACAUAUCCCAAUCACUAUAGUUUUUUCAAACGACUAUUUUAACAACGCAUCUACGAUUCAUAGUAAAAUGUGACAUUGUAUACUGUAAAAUUUCUACAAUCUACAAGGUCAAAUUUAUUGUAAAUGUGACCACAACACCAGAUACACUAGAAAUAAAGUAAAACCCUAAAAGUCCCAUGCUAGCUAGACUACUCUUGGUUGGCUAGAAAUUAGGAGGGAGUACCCAGAUGCCAGUUUGAGCACGAGCUGCUACAUAAGAUCCCGCUGAUUUGAUCCUCUGUGUGACAUUGUCGCUACUUUCAUCUUGCAUAGGAUAUACACGGUUACCAUUGCCAUCAAAACUUGCCAAGUAUGUCAUAUCAUCAGCGUAGAUGUGGUUUCUCUGCACCCUGUCGCGCCCAACCACCGGCACGUCAACCGCCCUGGACAUUUUCCCCAAAAAUAAGGCGGAGUCACCCAAGGUCCUUACUUCCUCCCACUUACGAGCAUACUUUGUCAUCGAGUCAUCAUCCAACACAUAAACCUUGAAGAAAGGCUCAGGGCCGGUGUGGUAUGAUGGGAAUUUCCCCAGUACCAUCGCUAGCUUCCCUUGCAGCUCAACAAUGUGAGUCGACCAUGUGAAAGGUUCACUAACAAUCUUGAUAUGCAACUCGGCGUCAAUGGCGAGCAGAGGCCUGCCAUAUUUGUUCGCGCCUAUGUUGAAUUUGAUCAGGUCAUUGGAGAAUAUUAUAUUAAUGUCAAUUUAAUAUUAUACUAUGUGUCGUCAAUUUAAAAGGCUCCUGCCGUCAUGCCUUUGAGUAUUAUAUUAAUGUCAAAUUGUUUAAAUGCUAGUAAUUAGUUAACUUAGAAGCAAACUGUUUAUUGAUAAAAUGCUAUAGUAUAAUUAAGGGAGUUUUUUUUUUGAAAAAUAAUAAUGUUAGAUAUAUGCUGAUGCAACAAGGGCAUGAUUUUAUUUGUUAGCAAUACUAAUAAAAAAGUUCAUAGAAAAUAAUUUUAUACUCCCGAGGGUUAUACACAUAGUUUAAUUUGUUAAUUGUUAAAAAGUUAGCUAUACAACUAGCUAUAUAUUUGUAAAUACUAAUUAGUAGUGUAAAAAAGCAGGAACGAGCACCCGCCUAUGAUACCUUGAUUUACCAACACAAAACGUGCAUCUUGUGUGUAUGAUUGUGAAAUGCACGUUGUGUGUGGAGUUUGACAUCUAAUUUUUAACCCGCUGUUGGUCUUUCAUAUAGAGGAAUGUCUCGCUGUGCUUCCACGAGUCCCUGUAGUUCGCUACGGCUCAGAAACACAGUGUUCGGACGUCAGAUACACUAAAGUUGCACUAUGACAACCAUUGUACAAUCCAGCCCGCCUCAGUUAUAUUAAUAAAAAUAUCGAUCCGAGAACUUUAUCAUGUAUCUGGUUGCGACAGACGCAUAUACGUUCGAGAAAAAGGAGAUAAAUGGUCCUGCGAAGGUAAGGUGGCAGCUAUCGGUGUUCUAGUACACAAGACAACCGAACGCUACACACAGUACUACAAGUCAGUAAUAAAUAGAGUCUGGCGACUACUAGGCUGGCAUGACAGUGCUGUCGAGCGACUCGCCGAUGUGUAUGGCAAUGUGGAAAAUGCAUCCCAUUACUUCUCAUCUCCGCUCCUCUUUGCUCGGUUUGUCCAAGAAGCGGAACACACCACUCAUGUCGGCCUACAUGGCAUAACAUGCUCGUGGAGAAACUAUGNNNNNNNNNNNNNNNNNNNNNNNNNNNNNNNNNNNNNNNNNNNNNNNNNNNNNNNNNNNNNNNNNNNNNNNNNNNNNNNNNNNNNNNNNNNNNNNNNNNNNNNNNNNNNNNNNNNNNNNNNNNNNNNNNNNNNNNNNNNNNNNNNNNNNNNNNNNNNNNNNNNNNNNNNNNNNNNNNNNNNNNNNNNNNNNNNNNNNNNNNNNNNNNNNNNNNNNNNNNNNNNNNNNNNNNNNNNNNNNNNNNNNNNNNNNNNNNNNAAGACGAUGAAAAUUGAGUAAACACAAAAGUAAAGUAGCCGGUCUCAUUAUCAUUAGAAGACGAUGGCAACUACUGCAUGCACCCAUACAUUCUUGGAUCGCUAUAUUUGGCUUAUUCGGUCACAAACCGACGACUUUGCAGCUGCUACAUAAACAACGCUACUCUGGAUCUUAGGGAAAAAUGUUUGGAGACGGAUAUUGAUAAAGGAAACCGAGGAGAGUUGGUGAUGUGAGUCUACUCCAUCGUGCAUGCUACCUACAUGGACAAGCACAUCCGACCUGGCACAGCCUCGAGUUUCAUUAUCCCCUCUUGAUCCCUCUGAUGUUUCCUCUUUCUCUUCAUCAUCAUCUUCACAUCCCUCAAUGUGCACGUUUUUGUGCCUCGAUUUGAUUGGUUCAACUACUUGCUGGCUAUCCUCAGAGUGGUCAAUUUUUUUGGUGUUCGCGAGGAGUCACCAGUACAAGCAUGGUACUGAUAUGUCAUACAUGACCGUGGCAUUUGUACUUGUAGUUUCCUUUCAUUUUUCAUUUUCCUUUUUAAACGCAUACUGUACUUUCUUUACUACACGAUAAUUAAUAUACACUGCACAUUUUUGUAGUAUACGUCAAACAAAUUUUUUAAUUGUAUGAAAACAUAUUUUAUAUUCACACUAUUUUAAAAAAAUAUAGUGAAUAUUUCUAAAUACAUCUAUAAUUUUUUAAUACACAAUGGACAAUUUUUUCAUGUACACAUAACACUUUUUAGUAUAUGAGGAACAUUUGAAAUAUACGGCGAACAUUUUCUAUAUACCCACUAAUAUUUUUAUAAAUGCUGAACAUUUUAAAAGUACACGUUCAUUUUUGUGUUUUCACAAACCAUAGAAAACCAAGAAACUGAAGUAAAAUGAAUAAACGAAAAAAAACAGUACCGGACAGCUCCGUCGCUGCAAAAAUAGGUCUGCACGUCUUAGUGGGCCUACCCAUUCAGAGUCACCUAUGCGUAUCCUCAACUUUUUCGACAACGGGUGCCUUUUAUUUACUUAUAAUGUUGCAUCGAGGGAUACAAUCAUAACAAGCACACACCCAAACUAUGUAUAACUAGCAUACACACUGCGAACACACAUAAAAAAUCACACUGGCAAAUAACAAAGUCAAAUAAGACAAGAACUAUGGCUAGACACAUACAGAAAACGAAGGAAAGAAGAAGAAAUCCCGAGGCGACCAAAAGAGCAUACGUGAGUGAUCAUAUGUGCCAACCAUCUGAACUACUGCGUCAACUAGGAGGUCUCGCUUCUAAGGCCAUCAAUAAUAUUAACGAUGGUUCCAUAUAAAAAAAGAAUAUUAACGGUGGUAGCAGGUGCGAGAUCUUAAAUUAUCAUUUUUUAAGGCCGCUCCAUCGUUUUUGUUCUGCACAAGUGGCUCCCCUAGCCGUAACCCCACCCACUGGUUAUGUAGUUCUUUAAGAGAAAAUCGAUGACACAUGCAAGCAACAAUUUUGUAUCUUCUGUCAUUUGUUUAUACUAUGCCAUCACGAGGAGAUUGCACUUAAAAAGACAAAUUGCAUAUAGGAUAGUUAAAAAAGGGUUGUUUUCUGUCGUGGAAAGGUUGAUUCUAGUAUGAGUAUUCUCUUGGUAUCCGUUCCUUCAUGGAGAAGAGAAGGUGAUUUUCUCUCGCCGCCCCGUCAAUUGAAAUUAUACAUGUUCAAUGAUGACAUGAAGGUUAAUUUCACACCACUCAUUCAUUGUGCUUGCCUUGAGUUCCCUUCAAGGAUAUACCGUGGCAUUCCCGCCUCAAAGAGCUUUUUCAAACCCCUUUCUCAAGAUGCACAACUCAGUCAUUGUUAUCUUGUGUAGACGGGUUCAUCCAACAGGGUAUAAGAUAACACGAUGGACUGAACUGAAGAGAAAAGAAAAAAAAAAUCAUCUACUAAGCCUUAAGCAUUAAACAAGCUUGGAGUGUUGGUCAGCGUGCGACAUCAUUCAAGAAUUUUGUGGACCUACGCUGACCCAAUGAACUUGUGCCCUAUCCCUUGAAGAAAUAUCUCAUCAAUUAUGAAUAAAAAUGUUUGAAGCAUAGAAGUACUCAUGUUUUGACAACAAUACGACCCAUUGUCAUAAACUCAUAAUAUCCCCAAUUUUUACUCAUGAAAAUCAUGUUUGCAUCCCUUUUUGACUCGUUACAUUGCAAUUGUGUCCCAAUUAGAUAACAAUAACACUAAUGAUUGAGCUUGCCAUUGGUAUUCAGUUAUGUGUACACACACAUCACCUUAUGGGUAUUUCACACGAGAAGAAAAUUAGAGGCGAUUUAUUUGCAACUAACAGGCGCUUGCCGCCUCCCAUUGGCUCGCUGCUUGCCAACAAGCAUUCGAUUCCAUUCAACUGAAUUUAAGAAAAAUGGUCAGCAUGUUGGCGCUGUACUGUGUUGGGUUCGUUGAUUGCAUCCAUAUAUAUAAGCAGUCCAUUCCAUUCAACUCAAUUCAUCAACUGCAUCCAUAAUAAAUAUCAAAAAUUCCCCAUGGCACACAACGUGAUUUGCUUGCUUCUUGAUCGGAUUAUCAAACACCGGAGGGGUGUCUUCCUGUGUGAGGGUGGCCGAAACAAACUCGGCAAUUGCAGACGCUCUGAACUCGCCAUCUGCAAUACACACAGUACAUUGUUAGCCAAUUUAACAGUCAAACCAACUCGGUACAUAGAAAUGGAAAGGAGAAGCUAAAACAAGUUUACCAUAUACUGUUAACUUCGCCUCUUUUUUCUUGAGCAGGACUAGUGAUGGGCGCUUUGCUUGCGGGUCAACAUGGAAAAGCUUGGCUAUAUCAGGACUGGUAGUCUGGUAGAUGUUGACAGCCCGGUACAAGCUGUUGAAAUCUUCCAGCCUUGAGGCAGCAGCAAGCUCUUCGGUGUGAGCACCCUAUAGCAUUUGUUGAUAAGAGUAAUCAAUUUUGGGCCACAUGUGCGGUGCAAUUGCAGCAAUUCGGUUGGAUGGUAGACUUUGCUGGGAUUGGAACGUACCGAAAGGGAGUCGAGGAAAGCUAGCACGGCUACUUUGCCGCCGGUGAUGAUCUUCUCGGCCUCGUCGAUGGUGGUGACGUUCUGCACCUCAGGGCCCAGCCUCUGGGAUAUCCAAGUGACCAUGGCGUCCCUGCAGCAGUGGAAAAUUCGCCACCAUGAGGGAUGAAAUAUAAGACCGUUUAGAUCACCAAAGUAAUCUAAACCACGAACAAAAAAUAAGAACAAAAAAUUUGAAUGGAACAUUUCCUGAAAUUCACAAACAUUUCUUAAAAACAUGAAUCUUUCUAAACCACGAACAUUUUUUAAGUUGUCAACAAGAACAUGUUUUGAAGAUUCAGAAGAGUUGUAGUAAUUUUUUUCUUUAAUGCAAACAUUAUUUUCAAUUUUUGAACAUAUUGUGAAAACAACAAUAUUUUUAGAAUUUGGAAUAUUUUCAAAAUGCAUUUUUCUAAAUAUUGUUUUUUAAAUACAGUUAUUUUUUAACAAAUGGCAAUAUUUUUUAAAUUUUGAAAUACAUUUGGCAGAACUAAAAAAAUUCCAAACAUUUUUAGAAUAGGAACACAUUUAUGUAAUUCGUAUAUUUUUAUGAAUUCUUGAAUAAAAAUGAAAUUGCGAUAUUUUCCGAAAAUUUUGAAUUUCAGAAAAUACGUAGAAAAUAGACUUAGAAUGUGAAAAGUAAAAAAUAAAUACGAAACAAAAAGAGAACUAAGCAGAAAAAUAAAAAUGGAAACCGAACACAAGCAUAAAUCGGCCGCUGAGUUUUGGGCGCCUUGUGCGUACCUGAAACUAUUUACCGCCUUGUGCGGGAAAUAGGAUUUUUUGUUGCUACAUGGGCAGGAAAAAAUGGGCUGAAUUUACGGGGCCAUAGUGCGCGCGGCCCAUGUACGAAAUUUUGCACAAAUUGUUUUUCCUUUGCUAAUAGACGAACAUAGAAAGUUUAGUACCACCUCGGAAAGAAAAACAAUAAUUUUUUGGCGGUGAACGGAUAAAAAAAUCGGAGAAACGCACCUUGCUUUAUUAGUAGGUAUAUAUAGAUAUUGAUAUAGAUAUAGAUUGCUCAAGGUGAAAAGCUAAGGCUAUCCUCUUAAGAAAAAAAACGAAGUUAUCUUCCUCGAAAGAAAAACAAAACUAUGUUAUAUAUCCUCCUCUCAAUCAACAAAAUCACCUCUCCUCGAGCAAGCCAACUCUGACUGCACCAUGGGUAAACGUCAAGAUCCCUCCGAACGAUACACGAGAACCGUCUCGGCCACUGCCAAACAAUUGGCCACAAGCUUCGACAACAUAGCAGCUUGGAUUUUGCCGAUGAACUUUGCUGGGGAAAAUUGUAAGCCUCGCACCGAUCUAGUCCAGCGCAAUCUCUGGAGAGCAGCGUCCACUGAAACCAUCUUCAUGGAGUCAUCGUUUCCGCAGGCGCCCCUCCACACACAGCUUCAUCUUCUUUGUUACAACAAGAAACAAGCAUAGGCACACCCAUUGGCACACCCGACUGUCAAAUUCAGAAGGGCCAACCACGACCUAGCUCCGCUCGCCACCAUUGUCGUCGCCACGAGUGCCAACACCAACUACUCGCAUCAUCAGCUGUGCACCAUCCAACCGUGAGAAUGUGCAUAUCCAACCCAGGAAAAGUGUGGAGGGGAACAAAUCUUCAAGACGGCGCCCUAAGUGGGGAGCGAUGCAGAAAUAACAAUGUUGUCCGACCCUGCAACAGGGACCUUAGGCUUUUACUGAAGACAUCCCAAGGGUGACCAAGAUGGAAGAGCUGCACGGCGACCCUCCAAGAAGGAAUAACGACACUAGCAACCGCCACAUCAUCAUUGAUGGCAUAAUCCAGGCAAGCCUUUGCCCCGGAGGAACAAACGUGCACAUACACCCCCACUAGACAAAAUACUGCCUUACCUAUAGACAAAUCAGUUCUUUUUUGGGCGAGAUAAGCCCAAAGUAAUCUGUGCAAAUAUUCUCUGUAAAUUCAAAAUCUAUGUGUAUUAUAUGUAGUUAAUCAACAUUUUACCGCCCAAAUUAGAAUCCUAGCCACUUUAUACCUCGAACUUUCAUUAAAUGUGUCUAGACUUACGUAUUGAGUGCACCAUGCAUGCUGCCAAGCCAACCCGCGUUGAAUCGCGCCAUAAAUUUCCUUAAGUUUAAAUUUCCGCUAGGAUUUACCUUGUAAAUAAGUUUCCACCGUUCUUACUAGCACAAAUUUAAAGCUUUGGGGUAAAUCCUUUCUGCAUAAUCCCUGUAAAAAAUGAUAAAAGUAAAGGUACAAAGUAGAAAUUUUAAUAUAUAUCAUCACACAAUCAUAGUACAACCAGCACACACAUACAAUUAUCAUCCAUACAAGCCAGAAAAGUAAGUCAGAACAAUCACAAGAUUUACAUGGGCAUCAUACCCUAAUCUUGAUUGAUCUUGACAUUAUAUAGCACAGAAUGACUUGAUGGUGGUGGGUUACAACACACCACUUAUUUAAUCCAGCAGGCAAUAUAAGUCACGAGUAUACUAUAUCUGGCGCGGUUGAUGUACUCGAACAUCUCAUCCCAGCGGCUCCUCUUGGAUGUGUGCUUCCACAUUUUCCUUUUCCGCUUGUGUCCCAAGUGGUGGUUUUGGUUGUGCAUUCGGGUCCGGCAGUCCAGGCAGUGGUUGUGGGUUUGGGUCUGGUAAUGGUUGUGGGUUUGGAUCAGGCUGCGGUCCUGGUAAUGGCUGAGGGUUUGGGUUUGGUUGUGGGUCCGGCAAUGGUUUUGGGUUUGGGUCUGGUAAUGGUUGUGGGUUUGGAUCAGGCUGAGGUCCUGGUAAUGGUUGAGGGUUUGGGUUUGGCUGUGGGUU